UUUUUUUUAUGUGUGAGAGGGUGAAGCAAAAAUAAACCGAUGAAGUGGGGGGAGGGGACGAAAAAAAAUCUACGAAAAAAACCAGCGAAGGUGGGAGGAGGUACCAAAAAAAACCAUGGUAGGUGGGACGAAAAAAAACCUGGAAGCGAGACUACCAACUGCUCCAUCAGGAGUAGAGAUUGCUUGCAAGGCUUAUAGUGAUGUGCAUUACCGAGAGGGCCCAGAGAUACCUCUCCGACAAUCGGAGUGACAAAUCCUAAUCUCGAAAUACGCCAACCCAACAUGUACCUUUGGGGACAUCUGUAGUACUCCUUUAUAAUCACCCAGUUACGUUGUGACGUUUGGUAGCACCCAAAGUGUUCCUCCGGUAAACGGGAGUUGCAUAAUCUCAUAGUCAUAGGAACAUGUAUAAGUCAUGAAGAAAGCAAUAGCAACAUACUAAAUGAUCAAGUGCUAAGCUAACGGAAUGGGUCAAGUCAAUCACAUCAUUCUUCCAAUGAUGUGAUCCCGUUAAUCAAAUGACAACUCUUUUGUCCAUGGCUAGGAAACAUAACCAUCUUUGAUAAACGAGCUAGUCAAGUAGAGGCAUACUAGUGACACUAUGUUUGUCUAUGUAUUCACACAUGUAUUAUGUUUCCGGUUAAUACAAUUCUAGCAUGAAUAAUAAACAUUUAUCAUGAUAUAAGGAAAUAAAUAAUAACUUUAUUAUUGCCUCUAGGGCAUAUUUCCUUCACCAGGACCCUUCCGGUGGUCCCGGUAUAAUACCGGUGACCCCCAAAACUUUCCCGGUGGCCGAAAUUGGACUUCCUAUAUACAAACCUUUACCUCCGGACCAUUCUAGAGCUCCUUCUCACGUACGGGAUCUCAUCCGAGACUCCGAACAACCUUCAGUAACCACAUACUAUUUCCCAUAACAACUCUAGCGUCACCGAACCUUAAGUGUGUAGACCCUACGGGUUCGGGAACCAUGCAGACAUGACCGAGACGUUCUCCGGCCAAUAACCAACAGCGGGAUCUGGAUACCCAUGUUGGGUCCCACAUGUACCACGAUGAUCUCAUCGGAUGAACCACAAUGUCAAGGAUUCAAUCAAUCUCGUAUACAAUUCCCUUUGUCAAUCGGUAUGUUACUUGCCCGAGAUUUGAUCGUCGGUAUCCCAAUACCUCGUUCAAUCUCGUUAAUGACAAGUCACUUUACUCGUUCCGCAAUGCAUGAUCUCAUGACUAACUACUUAGUCACAUUGAGCUCAUUAUGAUGAUGCAAUACCGAGUGGGCCCAGAGAUACCUCUCUGUCAUACGGAGUGACAAAUCGCAGUCUCGAUUCGUGCCAACCCAACAGACACUUCCGGAGAUACAUGUAGUGCACCUUUAUAGCCACCCAGUUACGUUGUGAUGUUUGGUACACCCAGAGCAUUCCUACGGUAUCCGGGAGUUGCACAAUCUCAUGGUCUAAGGAAAUGAUACUUGACAUUAGAAAAGCUUUAGCAAACAAACUACACGAUCUUGUGCUAUGCUUAGGAUUGGGUCUUGUCCAUCACAUCAUUCUGCUAAUGAUGUGAUCCCGUUAUCAAUGACAUCCAAUGUCCAUGGUCAGGAAACCAUAACCAUCUAUUGAUCAACGAGCUAGUCAACUAGAGGCUCACUAGGGACAUGUUGUGGUCUAUGUAUUCAGACAUGUAUUACGGUUUCCAGUUAAUACAAUUAUAGCAUGAAUAAUAGACAAUUAUCAUGAACAAGUAAAUACAAUAAUAACCAUUUUAUUAUUGCCUGUAGGGCAUAUUUCCAAUAGUCUCCCACUUGCACUAGAGUCAAUAAUCUAGUUCACAUCACUAUGUGAUUGUAAUGAAUUCAACACCCAUGGGGUUUGAUCAUAUCUCGCUUGUGAGAGAGGUUAUUAGUCAACGAGUCUGAACCUUUCAGAUCCGUGUGUGCUAUACAAAUCUCUAUGUCAUCUUGUAGAUGCAGCUACCAUGCUCUAUUUGGAGCUAUUCCAAAUAACUGUUCUACUAUACGAAUCCGGUUUACUACUCAGAAUCAUCCAAAUUAGUGUCAAACUUUGCAUCGGCGUAACCCUUUACGACGAACUCUUUUACCACCUCCAUAAUCGAGAAAAUUCCUUAGUCCGCUAGUUACUAAGGAUAACCUUGACCGUUGUCCUGUGAUCCAUUCCUGGAUCACACUUGUACCCCUUGACUAACUCAUGGCAAGGCACACUUCAGGUGCGGUACACAACAUAGCAUAUUGUAGAGCCUAUGUCUAAAGCAUAGGGGACGACCUUUGUCCUUUCUCUCUCUUCUGCCGUGGUCAGGUCUUGAGACUUACUCAAUGCUCACACCUUACAACAUAGCCAAGAACUCCUUCUUUGCCUAUCUAUUUUAAACUCCUUCAAAAUCUUGUCACGAUAUGUAUUCAUUUGAAAGUACUAUUAAGCAUUUUGAUCUAUCCUUAUAGAUCUUGAUGCUCAAUGUUCAAGUAGCUUAAUCCAGGUUUUCCAUUGAAAAACACUUUCAAAUAACCCUAUAUGCUUUCCAGAAACUCUACGUCAUUUCUGAUCAACAAUAUGUCAACAACAUAUACUCAUCAGAAAUUCUAUAGUUCUCCCACUCACUUCUUUGGAAAUACAAGUUUCUCAUAAACUUUGUAUAAACCCAAAAUCUUUGAUCAUCUCAUCAAAGUGUAUAUUCCAACUCCGAGAUGCUUACUCCAGUUCCUAGAAGGAUUGCUGGAGCUUUGCAUACUUGUUAGCAUCUUAUAGGAUUGACAAAACAUUCCGGUUGUAUCAUAUACAACCUUUCCUCAAGAAAAUCGUCAAGGAAACAAUGUUUUGACAUCCUAUCUACAAGAUUUCAUAAAUAAUUUAUUAACUGCUAAUAUAAUUCCAACAGACUCUUAGCAUCGCUACGAGUGAGAAAGUCUCAUCGUAGUCAACUCCUUGAACUUGUCGGAAAACAUCUUAGCUACGAGUCGAGCUUUCUUAAUGGUGACACUUACCAUCAUUGUCCGUCUUCCAUUUUAAAAUCCAUCUGUACUCAACAGCCUUACGACCAUCGAGUAGUUCUUCCAAAGUCAAUACUUUGUUUUCAUACAUGGAUCCUCUCUUGGAUUUUAUGGCCUUGAGCCAUUUGUCGGAAUCCGGGCCCACCAUCGCUUCUCCACAACUCGCAGGUUCAUUGUUGUCUAGCAACAUGACCUCCAAGACAGGAUUACGUACCACUCUGAAGUCGUACGCAUCCUUGUUGACCUACGAGGUUUGGUAGUGACUUGAUCCAAAGUUUCAUGAUCUCUAUCAUCAGCUUCCACUUCAACUGGUGUAGGCGCCACAAGAACAACUUCCUGUGCCCUACUACACACUAGUUGAAGUGACGGUUCAAUAACCUCAUCAAGUCUCCACGAUCCUCCCACUCAAUUCUUUCGAGAGAAACUUUUCCUUGAGAAAGGACCCAUUUUAGAAACAAUCACUUUUGCUUCUGGGUCUGAAAUAGGAGGUAUGCCCAACUCUUUUGGGUGACCUAUGAAGAUGCAUUUAUCCGUUUUGGGUUCGAGCUUACUAGGAUGAAACUUUUUCACAUAAGCGUCGCAGCCCCAAACUUUCAAGAAAUGGCAGCUUAGGUUUCUUUAAACCAUAGUUCACACGGUGUUAUCUCAACAGAAUUACAUGGUGCCCUAUUAAAGUGAAUGCAGUUGUCUCUUAUGCCUAACCCAUAAACGAUAGUGGUAAUUCGAUAAGAGACAUCAUGGUAUGCCCCAUAUCCAAUAGGGUGCAUCUAUGAUAUUCGGACACACCAUAACACUAUGAUGUUCCAGGCGGUAUUAGUUGUGAAACAAUUUCCACAAUGUCUUAAUUGUGUACCAAACACACAACUCAGAUAUUCAUCUCUAUGAUCAUAUCAUAGACAUUUUAUCCUUUUGUCACGACGAUCUUCAACUUCACUCUGAAAUUACUUGAACCUUUCAAUAAUUCAGACUUUUGUUUCAUCAAGUAAAUACACUCAGCAUCUACUCAAAUCAUCUGUGAAGUAAGAACAUAACGAUAUCCACUGCGUGCCUCGGCACUCAUUAGACUUAACACAUCAAAAUGUAUUACUUCCAACAAGUUGCUUUCUUGUUCCAUCUCACUGAAAACGAGGCCUUUCAGUCAUCUUGCCCAUGUGGUAUGAUUUGCAUGUAUCAAGUGAUUCAAAAUCAAGUGAGUCCAAAAGAUCCAUCUGUAUGGAGUUUCUUCAUGCGUACAUACCAAUAGACAUGGUUCGCAUGUCUCAAACUUUUCAAAAACGAGUGAGUCCAAAGAUCCAUCAACAUGGAGCUUCUUCAUGUGUUUUAUACCAAUAUGACUUACAUGGCAGUGCCACAAGUAGGUGGUACUAUUGAGGGAGUCCUGGAUAAGGGGGUAUCCGGACAGCCGGACUGUACACAUCGUCCGGACUAUAGAAGCGUCAAGGUACAAGACUCAAGACUUCGGCUCAUGUCCGUAUGGGACUCUCCUUUGUGUGGAAGACAAGCUUGGCGAUCCGGAUAUUAUAUUUCCUUCCUUGUAACCGACUCCAUGUAAACCCUAGCUCUCCGGUGUCUAUAUAAACCGGAGAGGAUGGUCCUUAGAAGGCCGAUCACAAUUACAAUCAUACCAUCAUAGGCUAGCUCUUAGGGUUUAGCCUCUACGAUCUCGUGGUAGAUCUACUCCUGUACUACUCAUAUCUUCAAUAUUAAUCAAGCAGGAAGUAGGGUUUUACCUCCAUCGAGAGGGCCCGAACUUGGGUAAACAUUGUGUCCCUUGCUUCCUGUUACCAUCAGCCUAAGACGCACAGAUCGGGACCCCCUACCCGAGAUCCGCCGGUUUUGACACCGACAUUGGUGCUUUCAUUGAGAGUUCCUCUGUGUCGUCGCUGCAAAGGCUCGAUGGCUCAUCUCGUUGUCAAGGACGACAUCACUUCUGGGGGAGCGCUGGCUGUAGGCCAGACUCUCCGGCUUGGCGGCCUCAUUAUGACCGCCCCAUCGACUGUCGCGCCAACGAUGGCCUCUCGGGUCAUCACGCAUAACCUUCGCAUCAAUUCGGAGCUUGCCGAAAUGAUGGAUCCGAUUGAGUUCUCCUCCCUUAAUGAGCUCUUGGAUCGCAUCUCCGCUUUGGGAGUCGCUAUGGACUAUGACCAGAUUGGGCUUAAACCCGACCAAAGCGACAUUAGAUCCCCGCCGGCCACCCAUGAGAUAGCGGUAGUGGAGGAACCACACGUGGAUUGCCCCUCAACUUUGAGGACGAAUUAUGUCCGGAUCACCGAACUCAGUGAGCCGAACACCCACCCAAAAGAAGACAUGGCCCAGGUCCCGGACUUAGAAUCGAGCGUUGGGCCGAAGGGAUUAGGUAAUACUCCAGAUCCCAAACUGUCAGGCUCGGAACUUCCCGUGCCCCCGGGCGUCAGAUCGGAUCAGAAUCCGUAUUCAGCCAACAACGCUCGCUCGGACUUAAACCGUCUCUCUCGUAUCAGGCAGGAGCCCCAGGAGACGGUACAUCGUUACUGGGCCAGAUUCCUCCUUGCUCUUAACAAGGUCAAGGACUGCCACAAGGAGGAUGUAGUCUCUCUUUUCUGCAGAAACUGCACGAACAAAGGACUCCUUAAUGCUAUAAGUCGAUGUGACAUAGGACACUUUACGGACUUAGCAACCAUAGUACAGAAGUACUUUGUGAUGGAAAGCGCUUGGAAGACCCAAACAGAAUUUUGGGAUAGUACGGCCCUCACCAGAACCUUUGUCCGAACUAAACGGCCGAACUCUCGUAUGUCGACCGAUUCAAUUCCCAAGAAACCAAAGCCCGCCCCAGGGCGUGGAACCGUAUUGGAAGGAUGGCUCAAUGGGCCAUGUAAGUUCCACAGUACGUCGGACGCAAUACCAACCCAUAACCUUAGGGCAUGUUGGAUACUUCGGCAGGUAGCAAAAAGUGGCGAGGAUCUCCUCGAGUGCCACAAAGUAGAACAACAUCCCGCCAAGGAACACAAUACGGUACUAACGGUCUUCGAGACCUUCGCCUCAAACAAUAGGCGUAAGCGAGCUCAUCGAAGCUCCACUGAAAUCUGCCAUGUGGCAAAAAUAAAUCCGUGGAACGACACUACUAUAACUUCCAAUGCAAGUGACGAACCCCAAUUCCAGUCCAUCCAGGCACCAGCCGCUCUAGUCCUUAGCCCAAUAGUGGACGGUUUUCGACUCACUAAAGUACUCAUGGACGGCGGAAGCGGAUUAAACUUAAUCUACGAAGAAACACUCAAGAAGAUGGAAAUUGACAAAAGCCGCAUUGAACAAAGCGGCACAACCUUCAGGGGAAUUAUCCCUAGUCGGGAAGCACGGUGCACAGGGAAAAUCACACUCGAUGUGGUAUUCGGCACCCCGGAAAAUUACAGGUCCAAAGAAAUCACGUUCCAAGUGGCUCUUUUCAGCAGCGCAUACCACGCCCUUCUAGGGCGAGACGCGUUUGCACACUUUCAAGCUAUACCCCAUUACGGGUACAUGAAGCUUAAAAUGCCCGGACCCAAUGGAAUUAUCACUCUAGCUAGUGAUCCGGACGUCGCACUCCGUGCCGAAAACAAAACUGCAGCACUAGCCUUGGAAGCACUAUCUGAAGCCCUAGCGGUAGAAGAAUUAACAACACUGCGCGCCACCGUGGACAGGGACGACGUGAUACUCGACAAGCGACCCAAGUCCACCUCAUUCAAACCCGCAGAUGAGAUAGUCAAAUUCCAAGUCCACCCAACGGACCCCACGAAGACAGCUUCCGUCGGGACACAGUUGAACCCUGUUAUGGACGCCGCACUACGCGACUUCUUACGCGAGAAUUGGGAUAUCUUCGCCUGGCACCCAUCGGACAUGUUGGGCAUCCCACGCGAAUUGGCCGAACACAGCCUUAACAUACUGAAGGGAUACAAACCUGCUAAACAGACCCUAAGGCGAUUUUCGGGCCCAAACGGCAAGCCAUGGGGGAGGAGCUAGCCAAGCUACUUGAGGGCGGAUUCAUCAGAGAUAUCAAACAUCCGGAUUGGCUGGCGAACUUGGUAAUGGUACCAAAGAAGGACAAAUCCUGGCACCUGCAUGUCGACUUCAAAGGCCUUAACAAGGCUUGCCCCAAGGAUCCCUUUCCCCUCCCUCGCAUCGAUCAAUUCAUCGAUGCCACAGCCGGACACGACUCGCUGUGUUUCCUCGAUGCAUACUCUGCAUACCAUCAAAUAAAGAUGGCAGAUACUGACCAAGCUGCAACAUCUUUCAUAACGCCAUAUGGCCCUUUCUGCUUCAACACUAUGCCUUUCGGGCUUAAGAAUGCCGGAGCAACCUAUCAAUGCAUGAUUCAAACAUGCCUGGAAAAGCAAAUCAGCAAAACAGUGGAGGCAUACGUGGACGACUUAGUCAUAAAAACAGGACACGUCGAAACCCUAAUAGAUGACUUGAGGCUUACGUUCGACAACCUACGAACAUAUGACAUCAAGUUGAAUCCGGAGAAAUGCAUUUUCGGCGUCCCCUCCGGAAAACUGUUGGGCUUCAUCAUUUCCAAUAGAGGAAUUGAAGCUAAUCCGGAAAAAAUCAGAGCUCUGCCGCAGUUGGCUAUACCAACAGACCUCAAACACAUCCAGAAACUAGCUGGAUGUGUGGCUGCUUUGAGCCGCUUUAUCUCCAGGUUAGGAGAAAAGGCAUUGCCUCUUUACCGCCUUCUUCGGCGCACCGAACACUUCGUGUGGACGGAUGCAGCCGCUGCCGGACUCGAUGAAAUAAAGACCUUAUUGGCCAACAAUCCAAUCCUAACAGCGCCAAAUAUCGGUGAACCUAUGCUGCUGUACAUAGCCACAACACAUCAAGUUGUAAGCGCAGUACUCGUCGUCGAACGAGAGGUUGACGGAUACAAAUUCCCGCUACAGAAGCCGGUUUAUUACGUAUCCAUGGUCCUCACCCCAUGCAAAUCCCGAUACCCACACUAUCAAAAAAUAGCAUACGCAGUCUACAUGGCAUCCUGAAAGCUACGACACUACUUUCAAGAGUGUUCGAUUACGGUGGCCUCCGAAGUACCACUAAACGAUAUAAUAAACAACCGCGAUGCCACGGGCCGGAUCGCUAAAUGGGCGAUUGAGCUCCUUUCGUUCGACAUAAUAUACAAGCCUCGGCGGGCUAUCAAGUCGCAAGUAUUAGCUGACUUUGUCGCCGAAUGGACGGAAGCCGAACUCCCUAAAGAGUACGGCGCAUACUCCAACUGGAUCAUGCACUUCGACGGCUCUAAAAUGCUGGCCGGAUUGGGAGCAGGCAUAGUCCUGACGUCUCCCACUGGAGACACGGUCCAAUACGUCCUCCAGAUAUUAUACACAGACUCCAACAAUGCAGCCGAAUAUGAGGCUCUGUUGCACGGUCUUCGGAUGGCAGUCUCUAUGGGCAUUCAACGCCUAGAGGUGCGCGGGGAUUCAAACCUUGCAAUAUCCCAAAUAAACGGACACUUUGAUGCCAAGGAUCCGAAAAUGGCGGCCUACCGUAAUGUCGUCCUUAAAAUGUCAGCUCGGUUUGAGGGGCUCGAAUUUCACCAUCAGGUUCGAGAAAACAAUCAAGCAGCAGAUGUACUUGCUCACAUCGGUGCUAAACGCGACCCUGUCCCACCUAACAUAUUCCUGGAAAGGCUGUUCAAGCCAUCCGUGACAUGGGAAGGGGAGUCCGGCAAUACCAGCACAGAUCUGAAUACAUCCCAGAUUCCGAACUAUCAGACAUAAUCGGAGGCUCUACCACCGAAAUAACAUCGUCAGCCCACGAAAUAAUGGAUGUCAUUGCCCCGUGGACUGAGCCGUUCUUGGCCUACCUAAAUAGGCAGGAGCUCCCCGAAGACCAAAAUGAAGCACACUGCAUCGUCCGGCGUUCUAAAGCUUACAAAGUCCAUGAAGGGGAACUCUAUAAGAAAAGUGCGACCGGAGUGCUUCAAAGGUGCAUCUCCGAAGAGGAAGGGCGGCAGCUCUUGGCUGAAAUCCAUGCCGGACUGGGCGGUCACCAUGCCACGGCUCGAGCACUAGUUAGCAAGGCCUUCCAUACAGGUUUCUAUUGGUCGACUGCCCGUGCAGACGCGCAGGACCUUGUCCAACAUUGCGUCGUUUGCCAGCUCUUUGCCAAUCAGAGUCAUAUGCCCUCUACCGCUCUCCAAACAAUCCCCAUAACUUGGCCCUUUGCGGUCUAGGGGCUGGACAUGGUUGGACCCCUUAAAGGGGGAAGCCACAAGAAAAAAUACUUAUUGGUCAUGGUAGAUAAGUUCACCAAAUGGAUAGAAGCCAAACCAGUGAAAACGGCCGAAUCCGGACCAGUAAUCAACUUUAUAUCCGGGUUCGUACACCGAUACAGUGUCCCCCACAGCAUCACCACCGAUAAUGGCUCAAAUUUCACGGCUGAUGAGGUGAAAUCUUGGUGCGGCAAAAUGGGCAUUAAGCUCGACUAUGCUUCCGUCUACCAUCCUCAAACAAAUGGCCAGGUCGAACGGGCAAAUGGUCUCAUCAUGAGUGGCAUCAAACCCAGACUAGUGCGAUCCUUGACAGAGUCGGAUACUCAUUGGGUCGAGGAGCUCGACUCCGUACUCUGGGGGCUGCGGACCACGCCGAAUGGCACUAAUGGAUAUAAACCAUUUUUUAUAGUGUACGGUGCGGAAGCAGUACUACCUUGCAACAUAAUACAUGAUUCGCCACGCGUACGCAUAUACGAAGAGAAGGAAGCCGAGUUAGAUCGGCAGGAUAACUUGGACGCCUUGGAGGAGGAGCGCGAUGUCUCUAAGGCCCGUUCCGCAUUCUAUCAGCAAUAGGCUCGACGAUACUAAAGUAGAGAAGUACAGGCAAAAACUUAUAAUGUUGGCGAACUCGUUCUACGCUUACCGGAGAAGAAGAAGGAUAAGCUCAAACCCAAGUGGGAAGGCCCCUUCGUCAUCGACCAAGUUCUCACCGGAGGAGCAUACCACUUACGUAAUGCGUCCGAUAACAGACUCGAGUCGAACCCAUGGAACGCGGCCAGACUCCGGAGAUUCUAAACGCCUAGCACCGAACUCAGUGUUUGUAUCCUUACCUCCCCCUUUUUUUAUGCUCCCUCCCUCUUCCUUUCUCAAAUCUUUUCCUCUUCACACAAAGUAUUUCAUACAGUACGGACUCCCGUAUUAUUCUUGCCGCACUAUGUGUGUAAGCAAUACCUAGGGGCUUCCUAUAUGGAAGCUAAAUAUAAAUUACUCUCAAGGCUUUUUUCCCAUCACACAUGAGUUUCUUUUUUUCAUGUGUGCCUUUUCUUCACCAUUAUAUGCAUCGAUAUGACUUAAGACAUGGCCAAGCUGGGUUGCCUAGCUCCUGUGUUUAUGCCCUACGUUCCCGUUAAUUCGGCUAGGGCAUAAGGGGAGCACCUCUGCGAUUGUUACUGCCGGUUGAGCCGAAUGUGUACCUCAGACUGGGUGAAGCCGAAAGCUAGUUUCCUUAAGAGAAUAUUCGGUCGGUGAACAAAAGAUGUCUUCGUUUAUCAUAACAUAAAUCCCCAGAAGUUUUGUAUCCUACGCCUUCGUUCGCAGUCCGGACAUGUGCUUUGCCGCAUGCAUUCCCAGGGAAAUGAACCCCUAAUGGAACUAUUCUCCCUGGAAGAUGUUUCUUACUAUCCAUGUAAUAUAACAUAACUAGUUAGGUACUUGUCUAUUCAAGCACUUAUGACCCCUACGCCUGGUCUCCACGCAUACCCCGGUUUUUUAUAACUGAGCGGGUAUUCAAACACACCCCGGACUAUCGGAUCCGAGGGCUGAAGCGAAAAGGUCAGCCAUGACAAAUGAUUUUAAUCCGGCUAGGGGCUACUUAUGCCCAUUAAAUUACACAGUCACUUGGACUGACUAUAUUCCUCCUCUAUGCCAUCCAACAGGCUAUCUAGUUUACAAUCCUGUUGCGAAUACUUAGCGGCUAACACUACCUGGUCAUGUACCAGACUUACGGGAAUUUCUUGCCCAUCGGGCCCCGCUGGUCCUACUUCGGCCAUAUGGUUCGGGUCCAGCUUGGUUUAGCGCAUCUUUACCAUUGCCCAAGAUUCUCUUGCACCUUGCCGGCAUGCUGAUAUCUUCCACAGCUGGAAGCGCCGCCGGGCUCCUUGAAGCAGGUCCACAAGCUCCAUCAUGCCAUUUGGCAAGGGGCUUGAUGGCCACAAGGCCUGAGCAACGACGUGCAUCACCCGCCGAGCUCGCUCGUGCAACUGUGAAAGUUCUUGCAGUACAUCACCUGUAGAUGAGGGCAUCUCCUCCUCGGGGCGACCCGUUAACAUUCCUACAAGAAAAAUUCUUUCAACACACUUCUGCGCCGAACUAUCAUACAGUUCGUCUAGGCACUCACCAUAAAUGCCGCGUUCAAGCCUUUUAUUCUCCUUUACGGAGUCCGCCAACUGGGCACGGACGUCUUUUAACUCUACAUCUAGUCGGACAUUGGCAUCCUGAAGAUUGUUCUUCUCCUGCCGAACCUGCGUGAGAAUGCGCUCGCCAGCCUUUAGUUGCCCCGAGAGAUACGACUCGUCGUCUCCCCCGCCCUCUGGAUUUACUGCAGGGUUAUAUACAGAAUUUUUUGUUAAAUUUGUCAUACCAGCCAGUUGCUAAUUGGUACAUUUUCGUACAAUCGAGAUAAAUGUUACCCGCUGAAGCCUUUUGGGUUUCCUCUAGCUUGGUAACUGUGGCCCUCAGUUGGGUCUUGCCCUCCUCCAGCUCCCGAGACAAUUGCUCAUUCUUAUCUAUAAGAACCUGCGCAUAAAUAGAUCCUUAAAACAGUUGUUCCAACCGUUUCAAGUCUCAGGGGCUCCUACUAUACAUAAUUAUCACAAUUUCUUACCCGUAUAUCUUUGGUAUACUGGUUCGUCGCUUGGGCAAGCCCGCCUUGAGCAGCUCGGACGUAUGCGUCUGCCGAAUUGAAGCGUUAAAAGCCUCUUCGGAAAAGAUGUUGUUCCGAAGCACGGCCCUCCGGCGCUGGUGAUUCAUGGCGCUCUCCACUUUGGAGUUUGUGGCCGAAAACAUAUCCGCAUCCUCUGUCGGAGGACUAUGCGGCAUUGGCCCUAUGUCCGCCUCCUCUCUCAAAGUCGGUUCUAGUGCCCGACUGAUGGAGGCAUGGUUGGCAGGAUCUCCGGAUAUAGUUCGGAUACCCCUCUUCCUGCCAGGAUGUAAAGGGCGCUGUUACACUUCAAGUAACAAUAAUUACAUGACAGGUUGUUUCCUUACCUCUACAGAGGCGUGUCGGCCCUAACCGCCUUCCUCUUGAGCCUACCCGAUCCGGACGCCUGUGGAUGACGGGUCCCUAGGGGCUCGGCCCUGCGCUCCAAACGUUGCUUCUGCAAAAACACGACGCAUCAGGGAUAAAGUGUGAUAUCAGGAAAGAGUCCUCUUUGGAGGAUCGAUUUUUCGGCUUAGCUUACACGCGACGAAGGUAGCAGUCCGGGAUAACCAGCAGUAAUAGACACUGAGGCACCGUCACGGCUUGCCCGAUAAAAUAUCCCGUCGACAAGCUCCACUGAUGCAUUCGGGACUUCUUCGAGUCCUGGAUCCAGGGCCCUUUCGGGGUCCUCUGGCUGCGGGGAAGGGCUGGAGAUUCCUUCUACGGUCCUCCUCAGUUCCUGCUCGGAAAUGUCGAAGCAGGUAACCUUAGCAAAGGACGCCACGAUAAGUGAAGCGAGAGCAUAAAUGACGACUUACCCAGUUUGGGGGAUUGUACAUGGAGAAUCCAUCUCGUGGUUUGAUAUGAAGGAAGUCUUCCUCUUCUCCUUUGUAUAGAUCGGACAAUAUCCUUGCCAGAGCAGUGGCGGAGUCCGGACCCUUACGGCCACAGCGGGUGGCAUCAUCUGUCCCGUUGUAAUGCCACGUGGGAUUGCCCCAAUAUUGAAGCGGUUGCACUCCCCGCAUUAUGCAUAUUGCCAUGACCUCAACUAUCGUCAGUCUGAAUUUGGCCAGUAACUUUAUCCUGCUCAUCAGGAAGUGUAUUUCCCUGGAAUCCUCUUCUUGGGGGCCUUGGAGGCGCCAGCUUAGACGUGCCCUCGGCGGGGUGUUACUGAACUUGGGGAGUCCUUUCUGGACUGGAUCCGGAAGGGGAGCGUCAUCAAUAUAAAACCACUCUGAAGCCCAGUCAUCUGGUGCCUUCUUGGGUGUGCCGGAUAGGUAUCCGGUCUCAGCGAUAUGCCAUACUUCGGCCCCGCCCACUUGACAUAGCGAUUCUCCCUGGUUGCGGGGGACAAGGCAGAACAGCUUCUUCCACAAUCCAAAAUGAGCCUCGCAGCCUAGGAAUAGCUCACAAAGGGCGACAUACCCUGCUAUAUGUAGUACGGAGGCUGGGGUAAAGUUGUGCAACUGGAGGCCGUAGAACUCCAGGAGCCCAUGAAGGAAUGGAUGAAUAGGAAACCCGACGCCCCUUAAUAGAUGCGGAAUGAGGCAUAUUCGCUCCUCUGGGAAUGGAUUGGGAGAUCUCUCCGCUUGUUCUCCGCCGUUAUAGGUGGCCACUCCGGCUCGGACAGGGACCAUGAACGCCGGUGGGAGAAGCCCUUGGGUUUGUAGCUUUAUCAAACGGCUAUGAGAAACUGAACACUCUCCCCAGUCCCCCGGCUUGGGGCAAGGGGAGCAAGCAGAAGAGCUGCGACGACUGGCCAUGUUGGAAUGGUUUUUUCUGGGCGCUCUGUUGGAUGCUUGCUCGAGGAGGGAGAGUGAGGUUUGGAUUUGGGAAUCCCCGUCUCUUCAAAUAGACGGUUAGCCCGAAGGACUGAGGGUGGAAAAUGAAAAAAUGCCUCGACUCCUCGCAUUCGCUCGACACAUGGAAACGAUCAUUAUUGAAGCACUGAAGCCGAGGAGUACAACAUUGAUGAGAUGUCGGACACUGUUCGUCGUGAUGGGUACAUUGGAGUAUUCGGAGAAGGAACCCGCCUUGCAAUGCUGAAGACAAGACUGCCUGUCGGACUCAUCAUCAUUGAAGCCUGGUUCAGGGGCUACAGAGGGAGUCCUGGAUAAGGGGGUAUCCGGACAGCCGGACUGUACACAUUGUCCGGACUAUAGAAGCGUCAAGAUACAAGACUCAAGACUUCGGCUCGUGUCCGGAUGGGACUCUCCUUUGCGUGGAAGACAAGCUUGGCGAUCCGGAUAUUAUAUUUCCUUCCUUGUAACUGACUCCAUGUAAACCCUAGCUCUCCGGUGUCUAUAUAAACCGGAGAGGAUGGUCCUUAGAAGGCCGAUCACAAUUACAAUCAUACCAUCAUAGGCUAGCUCUUAGGGUUUAGCCUCUACGAUCUCGUGGUAGAUCUACUCUUGUACUACUCAUAUCUUCAAUAUUAAUCAAGCAGGAAGUAGGGUUUUACCUCCAUGGAGAGGGCCUGAACCUGGGUAAACAUUGUGUCCCUUGCUUCCUAUUACCAUCAGCCUAAGACGCACAGAUCAGGACACCCUACCCAAGAUCCGCCGGUUUUGACACCGACAACUGUCAUUACUAUCUUAUAUCUUUUGGCAUGAACAUGUGUAUCACUACGAUCGAGAUUCAAUAAACCAUUCAUUUUAGGUGCAAGACCAUUGAAGGUAUUAUUCAAAUAAAUAGAGUAACCAUUAUUCUCCUUAAAUGAAUAACCAUAUUGCGGUAGACAUAAUCCAAUCAUGUCUAUGCUCAAUGUGAACCCCAAAUAACAGUUAUUCAGGUUUAACAUCAAUCUCGAUGGUAGAGGGAGUAUGCGAUGCUUGAUCACAUCAACCUUGGAAACACUUCCAACACAUAUUGUCUUCUCACCUUUAGCUAGUCUCCGUUUAUUUCGUAGCCUUUUAUUUCGAGUUACUAACACUUAGCAACCGAACCGGUAUCUAUUACCUUGGUGCUACUAGGAGUACUAGUAAAGUACACAUUAAUAUAAUGUAUAUCUAAUAUACUUCUGUCGACCUUGCCUGCCUUCUUAUCUACCAAGUAUCAGGGUAAUUCUGCUCCAGUGACCGUUCCCCUUAUUAUAGAAGCACUUAGUCUCGGGUUUGGGUUCAACCUUGGGUUUCUUCACUAGAGCAGCAACUGAUUUGUCGUUUCAUGAAGUAUCCCUUCUUGCCCUUGCCCUUCUUGAAACUAGUGGUUUCACUAACCGUCAAUAAUUGAUGCUCCUUCUUGAUUUCUACUUUCGCGGUGUCAAACAUCGCGAAUAGCUCAAGGAUCAUCAUAUCUAUCCCUGAUAUGUUAUAGUUCAUCACGAAGCUCUAGUAGCUUGGUGGCAGUGACUUUGGAGAAACAUCACUAUCUCAUCUGGAAGAUUAACUCCCACUCGAUUCAAGUGAUUGUAGUACUCAGACAAUCUGAGCACAUGCUCAACGAUUGAGCUUUUGUCCCUUGGUUUGUAGGCUAAGAAACUCGUCAUAGGUCUUAUACCUCUUGACAUGGGCACGAGCCCGAAAUCCCAAUUUCAGCCCUUGGAACAUCUCAUAUGUUCUGCGACGUUUCAAAAACAUCUUCGGCGCCAGAAUUCUAAACCGUUUAACAUUACUGAACUAUCAUGUAGUCAUCAAAACGUGUAUGUCAGAUGUUCGCAACAUCCACAGACGACGUUCGAGGUUCAGCACACCGAGCAGUACAUUAAGGACAUAAGCCUUCUAUGCAGCAAGGAGGACAAUCCUCAAUUUACGGACCCAGUCCGCAUGUUUGCUACUAUCAACUUUCAACUAAAUUUUCUUUAGGAACAUAUCUAAAAUAGUAGAACUGAAACGCGAGCUACGACAUAAUUUGCAAAGACCUUUUCACUAUGUUCAGGAUAAUUAAGUUCAUCUAAUCAAAUUAUUUGAUGAACUCCCACUCAGAUAGACAUCCCUCUAGUCAUCUAAGUGAUACAUGAUCUGAGUCAACUAGGCCGUGUCCGAUCAUCACGUGAGAUGGACUAGUCAUCAUCGGUGAACAUCUUCAUGUUGAUUAUAUCUACUAUACGACUCAUGUUCGACCUUUCGGUCUCUUGUGUUCCGAGGCCAUGUCUGUACAUGCUAGGCUCGUCAAGUCAACCUAAGUGUUUCGUGCGUGUAAAUCUGGCUUACACCCGUUGUAUGUGAACGUUAGAAUCUAUCACACCCGAUCAUCAUGUGGUGCUUCGAAACAACGAACUUUCGCAAUGGUGCACAGUUAGGGGGCACUUUCUUGAAAUUUUAUGAGGGAUCAUCUUAUUUAUGCUACCGUCAUUCUAAGCAAAUAAGAUUUAAACAUGACAAACAUCACAUGCAAAUCAUAAAGUGACAUGAUAUGGCCAAUAUCAUCUUGCGCCUUUGAUCUCCAUCUUGAGGCACGGCAUGAUCACCUUCGUCACCGGCAUGACACCAUGAUCUCCAUCAUCAUGAUCUCCAUCAUCGUGUCUUCAUGAAGUUGGCAUGCCAACAAUUACUCCUACUACUAUGGCUAACGGUUUAGCAAUAAAGUAAAGUAAUUACAUGGCGUUUAUUCAAUGACACGCAUGUCAUACAAUAAUUAAGACAACUCCUAUGGCUCCUGCCGGUUGUCAUACUCAUCGACAUGCAAGUCGUGAUUCCAAUUACAAGAACAUGAUCAAUCUCAUACAUCACAUAUAUAUCAUUCAUCACAUCCUUUUGGCCAUAUCACAUCACAAGGCAUAUGGUGCAGAAACAAGUUAGACGUCCUCUAGUUGUUGUUGCAUGUUUUUACGUGGCUGCAACAGGGUUCUAGCAAGAACGUUUCUUACCUACGUCAAAACCACAACAUGAUAUGCCAAUUUCUAUUUACCCUUCAUAAGGACCCUUUUCAUCGAAUCCGAUCCGACUAAAGUGGGAGAGACAGGCACCUGCUAGCCACCUUAUGCAACUAGUGCAUGUCAGUCGGUUGAACCUGUCUCACGUAAGCGUACGUGUAAGGUCGGUCCGGGCCGCUUCAUCCCACGGUGCCGCCGAAACAAGAUAAGACUAGUAGUGGCAAGUAAAUUGACAACAUCUACGCCCACAACAAAAUUGUGUUCUACUCGUGCAUAGAAACUACGCAUAGACCUAGCUCAUGAUGCCACUGUUGGGGAAUGUUGCAGAAAAUAAAAAAUUUCUACGCUUCACCAAGAUCAAUCUAUGGAGUCAUCUAGCAACGAGAGAGAGGAGUGCAUCUACAUACCCUUGUAGAUCGCGAGCGGAAGCGUUCGAGAGAACGGGGUUGAUGGAGUCGUACUCGUCGUGAUCCAAAUCACCGAUGAUCCUAGCACCGAACAGAUGGCACCUCCGCGUUCAACACACGUACGGUUGGGAGAGACGUCUCCUCCUUCUUGAUCCAGCAAGGGGGAAGGAGAGGUUGAUGGAGAUCCAGCAGCACGACGGCGUGGUGGUGGAAGUAGCGGGGAUCUCGGCAGGGCUUCGCCAAGCUUAGCGAGAGGGAAAGGUGUUACGGGGGAGAGGGAGGCGCCAGGGGCUUGGUUGUGCAGCCCUCCAUCCCCCCCUCUUUAUAUAGGGGCCCUCGGGGAGCGCCGGCCCCCUAGAGAUCCAAUCUCAAGGUGGGGGGCGGCGGCCAAAGGGUGAAACUUGCCCCCCAAGUCAGGUGGGGCGCCCCCCACCCCCAGGGUUUCCAACCCUAGGCGCAGGGGGAGGCCCAAGGGGGGCGCACCAGCCCACCAGGGGCUGGUUCCCUUCCCACUUCAGCCCAUGGGGCCCUCCGGGAUAGGUGGCCCCACCCGGUAGACCCAUGGGACCCUUCCGGUGGUCCAGGUACAAUACCGGUGACCCCCGAAACUUUCCCGGUGGCCGAAACUGGACUUCCUAUAUACAAAUCUUUACCUCUGGACCAUUCCGGAGCUCCUCGUCACAUCCAGGAUCUCAUCUGAGACUCCGAACAACCUUCGGUAACCACAUACUAUUUCCCAUAACAACUCUAGCGUCACCGAACCUUAAGUGUGUAGACCCUACGGGUUCGGGAACCAUGCAGACAUGACCGAGACAUUCUCCGGCCAAUAACCAAUAGCGGUAUUUGGAUACCCAUGUUGGCUCCCACAUGUUCCAUGAUGAUCUCAUCGGAUGAACCACAGUGUCAAGGAUUCAAUCAAUCCCGUAUACAAUUCCCUUUGUCAAUCGGUAUGUUACUUGCCCGAGAUUCGAUCGUUGGUAUCCCAAUACCUCGUUCAAUCUCGUUACCGGCAAGUCACUUUACUCGUUCCGUAAUGCAUGAUCCCGUGACUAACUACUUAGUCACAUUGAUCUCAUUAUGAUGAUGCAAUACCGAGUGGGCCCAGAGAUACCUCUCCGUCAUACGGAGUGACAAAUCCCAGUCUCGAUUCGUGCCAACCCAACAGACACUUUCGGAGAUACCUGUAGUGCACCUUUAUAGCCACCCAGUUACGUUGUGACGUUUGGUACACCCAAAGAAUUCCUACGGUAUCCGGGAGUUGCACAAUCUCAUGGUCUAAGGAAAUGAUACUUGACAUUAGAAAAGCUUUAGCAAACGAACUACACAAUCUUGUGCUAUGCUUAGGACUGGGUCUUGUCCAUCACAUCAUUCUCCUAAUGAUGUGAUCCCAUUAUCAAUGACAUCCAAUGUCCAUGGUCAGGAAACCAUAACCAUCUAUUGAUCAACGAGCUAGUCAACUAGAGGCUCACUAGGGACAUGUUGUGGUCUAUGUAUUCACACAUGUAUUACGGUUUCCAGACAAUACAAUUAUAGCAUGAAUAAUAAACAAUUAUCAUGAACAAGUAAAUACAAUGAUAACCAUUUUAUUAUUGCCUCUAUGGCAUAUUUCCAACAGCACCUACACCCCUGCCCCGGUCGAGGUUGUCCGGCCGGAUUUGUGACCAGCCGUGAGCUGCGAGAGAGUGUGGCCACCUAUGUCUUGCUUAGAACUGGAGAGCAUGAGAGAGUGAACAAGAGGAACCCUAGUAAAGCAAGCGCUAAGGCUCCUUCUUAUAUAUAUAGUGGAGUGAUUUUGUUUUACCAGCUUCAAAAAAUGCGCUCCUACGUGUACCAGUGAGUGGGUGUGAGAGAACUAGUGUGUGUGUGCACCGCUUCUCUUCGUGAGAGUACAAUAUUCUAUGCCCAAAGAACGUUCGCCGCAAGAGUAAUAGUACAAGUGUGUGACGUGUGAGCUAAAAUAAAAUGUGUGUGAUGUCUUUUGUUUUUUAGAAGUUCUGAGGGUAGGGUGUGAAGAGCACAUAUGUGCGUGACGUCUACCUGCAGAUAGACGGUGGCUGCGACGUGCGAGUCUGCGAGAGGACUCGGGAGAGUCAUGAAUCGUGAGGGUGCAUGUGCGUGAGAGGGGGGCACGUAUCAAUGCAAUGCAUGUGUCCGUAAAUCAUUAUCCGACAAACAUUCGCCACAAGCCUUUUCCUGACGAACAUCGUAAGAACCGUUAGAUCGGCAUUCGAAAGUGUCAGUUUUCCCAUGUCAUUUAACAGAACAGACACUCCCCCUACACACAAAUCUUCCACGUGAGUGUUAGCAACUGCCGUAUGCUCCCUCCAUUCCGAAAUGCAGUGCAUAUAGCUUUGUUGAAAAUUCGAACCUCGCAAACUUUUAUCGAGUUUUCGUGUACCAAAUUGCACAUGUAGAAUACCCUGUAUAUAUCAUUUCAUUCAUCUUCGAGAGGUAACUAUAAAGAUGGGGGAGGAGUCUACAAAAUAAGACCAUCGUAUCACCCGCAUCAAUUUCAACCAUCCUUUGGUGUCGAGGAAUAUCAUAGGAACUCUAUAUGAUAUGAUUUUCAUAGGAUUUUUUCCUUUAGAGCCAAUUGGUUCAUAGGAAUAGAUUCAUAUACUCCACAUUUCAAAGGAAAUAAACAUGAUAUCAUUUCUAUAGCUUUAGAGCCACUUGGUUCAAGUGAAUGGAUUCCUAUACUCCCUUAAUUUCAAAGGAAAAUAAACAUUAGCGUAUAUUCAAUAGAAAAGUUCCUAUGAUCUAAACCAAAUUACAUAUCUUUUAUAAUCCCUCCUCAUAGGAAUUGAGAUACAUGUCAUCUCUAGAUUCAAUAGAAAAGUUCCUAUGAUGUGAACCAAAUGACAUCUCUUUUCCAAUCCCUACUCAUAGGAAUUGAGAUCCUCCAUGUAAUCUCUUUCCCUACAACUUCCAUGUAUAGAUCUUCUAUCCUAAAUAGAUAGUACAACCCACUAGUAGCUUUUUUCCAAAACAUGCAACUAUGGCACAAGAACUAUAUAGUGUGCCAAUAACUUUGAAAGAUGGUAGCUGGAUGAAGCUAAUCUGACAGUGCAGAGAUGGCGAAUCACUACUGGCCGUUGGAUAUCAUCAACAUUCCACCAGAUCAGCCACAUGUAUAAUUUAAAAGACUCCAUGGUUGAACUUAAGCAUAAUGCACAAACCUCAAAACACAAGCACUUCUCCUUUGUUCUAGAAUCUUCUGUAUCAUAAUUAUUAUUUUUUCUAAAUGAAUUGCCAUUGUUUGUUUUUUACUUUAUGCUUUACAAUGCACAACCCCAUUAAUCUUAACAUUUUUAUAAAACUAAUUGAUUUUGAAUGAGAUGAACUAUAAGAACUAAACGAACAUCUACAUCAUGCAUAUAUGACUCAAAGCUUUACAUGCUAUAGUGUGUAUUUAUUCAUAAUUUGGUUUCAAAAUCUCAUGCGUUCAAUGCAUCAUUGCCUUUCGGUCGAACCUAUGUCCACAAUUUUUUGUACGUACUAUAUCGCCACUAGUCCCCGAAUCCAAAAUGUUGCCUCGUUCCCGUAAAACUAAGCGGCCCACACAUGCGUCGACUCGAACCCGUUUACUACAACAUGGCCCCGCAUGCUAUAGUACUCCUACAAACCCUACCGCCGCACUCAUCGUCGGUUUUCUUCAAGAGGACAAGGGAGAAGCCGAUCUGUAGUGGAGGCGCUUUCAAAAAAAAGGAUAUGUAGUGGAGACCCCUACCCUAGGGUGCCCUAGGUAGCUGCCACACGCAUCAUUGUUUUCUCUUUUCUUUAUGCUCUUGCGCCCUAGAGUGAAAUGAUGGUUGCUUCGUCUGUCCAGCUUAAUGCGGGAAAGGUGGGGCUUUGUGAUUUGACCCCUCGUCGCUCAUUUUCUACUACCGCGGCGCUACGACUGGGGUGCCUCCAGUUCCAACCGCUGCUCCGAACUGUAAUUUGGUGCAUCACACGUGGAACAAGACAGUGGAUGAGCCACAUGUCAGCCAAAGGGGUCCUGUUAAGUGUGUCGCCAUUUCGUGUGCGGACUGACCCUGCUUGAGUUGCUACGCCAACACAACAGGAGCAGCCUACCACUUGGUUUUGCUCCUUGGUGAAUCCCGACUAUAUUGAUCUAAAAAGAUACGUGCUGAACUACCCUCUCCGUCUCGGUUUUUUAUUUUUAGGCGUCUUGGUUUAUAGGGCGUGCACGUAGUUCUAGGUCAUCCAUUUGACUAACUAAAUAUGAGUUACUAUAUCAUUGGAUUCUUAAGCAGAUGUAGUUGUAUUUAAAAGUCGAGGGCGGGGCUUUUCCUGCGCGGUAGGCGGGGUAGUUCCGCCUAGUCGGUUCGACAGAGACACGAGAAAACGAGGGAGUAGGCUGCUGCAAACGUAGGGCUGUGUGAUUUGACAGCGAGUUACUGGUGGGCAGGUGGGGCCCCGUGACUUGACUUGCCAUUAUCAUUUUAACUGCGGCGCUACGACCGGCGUGAGUCUCCCAAUUCCUGACCACCUCCAUACAGGCACCUCUCCCAAUGCUCCACCAUGUAGUAGAGGAUGGCGACGAGUUUGACGUCAUCUACACCCGUUCUUCCGCGAUGGUGAAAGGAUGCCUUUCUCGCUUCAGACGCAUGUUCGAAGACUCAGAUGAUGAGCGGGUCGCUGGGCUAGAUGUUGAGUACACCACAGUCCUGGGACAAAAGAAGGAUCUAAAGGACGAAGAGAGGAAAAAGCCCAUCGUGAUCCAGGUUUGCGUGCAUGAGUUAUGCUUGGUCUACGACAUAUGCCAUGUCGAUGUUGAAUGCCUGGAUUUUAAGAACUUCCUCGAGAGCAACCUAGUCAAAUUCGUUACUGUAGACUUUGGUAACAACAAAGAAGUCCUGCGUCGGAUAGGCCUCGUUGUAGGAAACCCCUUCGACCUCCAUAAGAAUAGGCUGCUGCCCUCCGGUGGCCAGCCUUCAAUGUUGACCCUGGCAGGAGCCAUGGUUCAUUCUUCGUACGGUAAACUGGAGAAACCUCAUUACACGUUUCAUCAUCAUGCAUGGCAGCGGAAUGUACUAGAUAUAGACCACAUCCACUAUGCUGCAAUGGAUGGCUACCUUUGUUUCAAUAUCCAUAAGGGUUGGGUGAAGAGCAAGAGCCAAGUGUGCGGUUCAAGCAAAGAAGUAUCGGCCAAGAGGAAGAGGGAUCAGGACGAAGUCAAGGAUGUGGACGAGGACUCCUCCGAGUGAGUAAGGUGUCAGUAUCGUUGCUCAUGGUGGUUCUAACGCAGUGUCUAUCAGAUUAGUUGCAUAGUUUAAUUUCAGGUGUGCUUAGUUGAAUUUGAGGGGUAUGUUGUGUUGAGCCCCAGCAGAACUAUGUUAUGUUUCUUCUUGUUACUUUAACUCCUCAGUAUGAUACAUACUACUAGUAUUUCUUUAAUAGAAUUUAGCACCACAAUUAAGCACGUACUAGCUUUUUUAAUACUACUAUAUGCAUAAUUUGGCGACGAGCGCUCUCUAUAUGUACCACCUUUUUUUAAUUUCAAUUUUUGCUCCACGGCGCAAUCCAUCGAUAGUACUACUGUACAAAAGUAUACACUUUUUAGAAGGCUAGAGUACUGUUCAUCACAUAUAUAGCCAGUUAAAUUCUCAACCUAGAACGACGUGCAUGCCAUGUAGUAAACUGAUACGGAGUAAGUAGAGUAAAAAUGAGGUGAUUUUACCGAGCGAUCGGCGGGGGAGCAUGGCCUGUCAUGCGGUCCCAUCUGUCAUGAUGUACCAAGGCGAUGUGCGUGUCCCUCUUGAGGCAGAAGCAAUACUACAUGGUUUGAGAUGAUGGCAAACCGAAGUGUGAAAUAAUGGUUGCUUCGUCCGUCUUGGAAGGUGCGGAAUUGUGAUUUGACGUCUCAUUGCUCAUUACUACUACUGGGCAGGUACGAGUGGGGUACGUCUCCCCUACUGUUCAGCACUGUUAUUUGGUGCUUGACACGUCGACCCGGUUGCUAUAUGUCCCACAUGUCGGCGACAGGAAGUACAGAAUUCAUGAAAGGGAGCGUCGACGGAGGAGUAUACUACAGAAUUCAUGAAAGGGAGCGACUUAGUUUUGGAAAAAUCUGUUUUUACGGAGUACGUACCCACUAGGGUUUAUAGGGCUCAUAUAAAAAACAUUUGUUUUUCUGUUUGAUAAGUCUCAAUUCUACUAUACUAGUAGUAGUACCAUUACAUGUUGGAUUUCGAGGUGCGUUAGAUCACCCGACGCAAGCAGUGUCAAGAGGAAACUAACCAAUGCAUGUACAAGUUCAAGGAAAUUUAGUGGGAGUAGUACUCCCUCCGUCUAGGUGUGUAAGUCAUCUUACGAAAACCAAAUAAUCCCAAAACACUUAGGCGCGGUGCAUUAAAUUCUACCUAGUUUCUUGUUUCUUGACAUAUCAACCAAUAAGAGAUGUGGGGUGUGCAUGUUUUUAAUGACUUGAGACUACCAAACACGACAUGCAAUGGUUAGUUCAUUGCAUGCAAUGCUAUUAAUUAGCAAAUGAACAUUAAGUUCUCUCAUUUUCUCCUCCUCCUUGGUCACGGUGCACAACCUAAGAUGACUAACUCACCUAGACAGAGGGAGUAAAAUUUUCCCUCGUGCUGCGAGCCACCGCGCGCGUUGGCGAGGGAGCGGGCGUAAGGCGUACAAUAGUAGGAGUACUACUACUACUACUACUCGUAAGUAAGCUUCACCUCAUCCUGCGAGCCACCGUGCCCGUGGACGGGGGAGACGGCGUACUAAGCAAGCUUCUCCCCGUUCUGUGAGUUGACGGGACACAUCAAAAGUACUCCAGUAUAUAGAGCCUUGCCUCUAAGGUAGGCCCCACAUGGUUUGCCUCUUUUUAUAACAUAACACGUCAAGUCACAAUUUGUUUGUUCAGCCGUGGUAGACGAUCCUCCCUCCACCAAGUGGACAACCAGUACACGUGCCAAAUUACCACGUGGGCUGCCUUUUCCGUACAGAAAUGAGCUCCAUCGUGUGCCUGCGCGAGUGUGGUUGGGAAAGAGACAGGAGUACGUGCGCCGUGCGUGCACCUCUUCUCUUCGUGCACGUCCCUCACCUACGUAGUGUGUGUGAGAGAGAUACAAACCUAGACAUAAUGCGUCAUCCAUCCCCAUGCCUCCGCCCAGUCUGACCACUAGUCACCACCACGCCCCACUCCUCCUCACCUUAUCUCUCAUCUUUCUCCCUCCAUUUUUAUAUACAAGGGGUCACUAUCAAAAUUACAAUUUGCAGAUAUACAAGGCCACUAACACUAAUCGAUGCAAUAUUAAUGGUGUUUGCCUCGUGGUACUAGCAAACGAGGACAUUAAUUAUCCCUUGCAUGCAUGCGGGAGUUUGUAAAAAAUGCAUCUUGAUGUUUCGUGCAAUGCAAGAGCAUCUUGCUAGUCCAUGAAAACAACACAUGGCAAAAUUCCACGGUGAAUGAGGGAUUUGAAUCUGUUGGGAGGGGCUAUUUGGAUCUUGCCCGGGGUAGCCAAAAUAUUGGCGACCCUUUUGUCCACCUGUGCCUUUGCCACCGAUGAACGAGGAAUGGCUCGGGUGCUCAUGCUGUCAUGCAUCCUCCAGCGCACACGUAGGAGACGAGCUCGCAUGAUGUUGGGGAUAUAACUACUGAGUGUAAACCGCCCAGGAGGGGCCGGUUCACCCUCAACUAUAUUGAAGCCCACGAAGACUCAGAAGAUGGCGCUUUACUAUGAAAAUUAGAGGCCCGGAGCCCAAAGGCAGAUUAGGGCCCAUAGUGGUAAACCGCCAUAGUCAUGUAACUUGUGUUGUAAGAUAAGGAAAGGAGAUACCGAGCCGAACACUUUUACGAGUCGGCCUUGGGACUCUGUAGACCGGCUGGGCGUCAACCCAUGUAUAUAAGGGGAUGACCCGGCGGCGGUUCAGGGACAAGAAACACAACUCGAUAGCCAGGCAUAGCUUGUUUAGCUUCCUGGUUAGCGAGACCCCAAUAAUCCCAUCACAACUAGAUGUAGGCCUUUACCUUCAUCGAAGGGGCCGAACUAGUAUAAAAUCCCUCGUGUCCUUUGUCCGGUUUAACCCCUUUAAGCUAACCCGUUGCGAUGGCUCCACGACUAAGUCCUUACACGAGGACAUCUGACGUGAUAUUUCCACGACAGUUGGCACCCACCGUGGGGCUAUCGCACGAUGGUUUCGAGUUCUUGAAGGGCACCUUCGAAGGACUCAAAGGAUACGUGGUGGGCCGGAUGACCAAGAGUCGUCGCAGCAAGCUCUACAUCGACGAUGCAGGCUGGGGCCCCGAGGCCGGCUCAAUCGAGUACGGGUACCGGGUCCCCUUUGGCGGAAUUCACGUCUUCAUCGGCAAGAUCGGCGAACCGGCCCUGAGCCGUACAUCUGCACCGACCUCGUCGAAACGGCUCAGCGUGCAAGUCCUGCCCGGAUUCAGCCUCCCAUGAAGCAUGCGUUCGUGGGAUGUGUCCACGGGAUCGGAUCUGAAACGGUGUCUGAGGGUGACACGGUCGCUUAUUCCGACGGUGAAUCAUCUGGUGAAACCGAAUCCUUGUACCAAGUUCAGGAUGGCGUGUUUGAAGGGUAUUCCGAUGGCACCAGUAUUCCGGAAUUCCUUGAAACGUCGAACCACGUUGGAAUCUUCAUGGCUGGAAUAGAGCCAACCUUGCAAAACUCUACUGCGGCGGCGUCUAGACCGAUAGUAGGGGCAGGAGGCUCCUCGCGCCGGCCGGCUCAAGUUCUCUUCGGUUUUAUGGAUGCCUGGGUGGCCUUGUUGACCACACCAAUUACACCAGCAACGCAGGAUCGGCAUAAUGCGGACAUUGCGAAUUUAAAAGAUCAGAUAACACAAGCCAAAGCGGACUUAGCAGCUGAGCAAACCAGGAUGGCGGAGGAACAGGCCGCUUUAGAUGCCCAGGCGCAAAGGAUUGAAGCUGAGAAUUAUCGGCUUUUGAUGGAUCAGAACGCUUUAAAUCAAGUAUCUAGAAGGAAACAUCAAUCUCGCUUGCCGGCGGAUUACAAUGCAAUGAAUCUCUUUGGAAUGCCAGGUGCAGGAACUAGUAACCCGCCAGCAGUAAACCGGAAUACCGAUCCAAGGACCGGGGUGCCGGAUCAACCUCAGGUGAUGGGUCCACCUCAGCGUACGGACAACCCGCCGCGGUAUACCACACCGCCGCCGGGUCACUUUUCUACCCUGUUGGACAAUAUGAUAGCAGCAGCAUCCCGGUUGGCUGCUAUUCGGAUUGAAGGUGAAUCGCCGGCAGCGGUUGAGACAUGGCGGGCUAGGGAUCUUCUUCAAACAGCUUUGACAUAGCAGCAAGCUUACUCGUAUAGCCGAGACAGCGUUCACUCAACUCCACGACCGAGCAAAAGCUAUAGCAGGCACAUAGAUGAACCGGAGGUAUCUAGCAGUGCGCGGCACCGCAUUGUCCCUCAAGGGCCUAAUCCGGUGCGUAGUGAUAUGAACGCUCGGGACGUGGUGGAUAACGGCAGAGCACGACGGGAGGCCGCUUUAGCAGCACAACAUACGGGGCGAUACCAAACCACCCCGGUUCAGCCAGCAGCGUCAGUAGACCGAGGCGUCGGAGUUGCUUUCAGCUCGUGGGGAGUGCCGUGCCUUAUUCCGGUUCUCCGUAAUGUGCGAUUGCCUAAGGACUUCAAGGGCCCACGUAAGGUGCCGAAUUACACCGCUGAUCAGCCACCCGAGGCGUGGGUAGAAAGUUAUGAGAUGGCGAUGGAGAUGCUGGACGUUGAUGAAGCGGCUUGUGCAAAGUACUUCACGAUGAUGUUGGAGGGAACAGCCCGCACUUGGUUGAAAAAUUUACCACCUAACUCCAUCGAGUCAUGGGACCAGUUGAAGGCCCGGUUUAUAGCCAAUUUCAAGGACACAUCUAAGAAGCCUAUGUCCAUUGUGGAUCUCGAUGCCUGUGUUCAAGGGGAGAACGAGUCAACAACUCAUUGGGUGUGCCGGGUUUCAGAAGUCUUGCAUUCAUCGGACAGUACUAAUGUUGGUUCGGCGAUCAUCACCUUGGAGCGUAAUUGCCGGUUUAAGUCACUGAAGAUGAAGUUGGGACGGCUCAAGCGUCACUGCAACGACAUGGGCACCCUUAUGGCCGCCUUGGUCAAGUAUGAUGAUUCUGAUAAUACCCAAGGAUCCUGAUUCUGAUGAGGAGAAACCGGAGAAGGGAAAGAAGAACGGCGGUGCAAAGGGACAGCAGCACAACCAAGGAGGCCAUGGGAAUAACGGUAAGCGUAAAGCAGAUUCAGAUUUUGUGGCUAACGCUAAUGUGCAACGUCGUAAAGGUAAACCUCCCCAGCGCGGCGGCGGAAUGAAUAUGGAGCGUUUGUUGAAUCAGCCCUGCCCAAAACAUGGGACCAAGGAGGUUCCUGCGACGAAUCUCUGGAAAGAUUGUCACAUUAUGAAGGAGUUCAAAAACUCUGAUCUUUUCCGGUACGAUCAGGGUCCAUCAGGAGGUUCAGGUCCAGGUUUUCAUGGAGGCGGCGGUUCAAGCUCUGGAUUUCAGAAUAAUUAGGGCAACCAGAACAAUCAAGGUGGUAAUAACCAGCAGAGUAAUCAAGGAAAUCAGCAGCAGUCGGGUUACCAGAGUCACCCAAAGCAGUUGAAUGGUGGGCAGUAUCAUGUGUUCACCACUAGUUUGUGCAAGCAUGAUCAGAAGCUUCACAAGAGGGCCAUUAAUGCUGUUGAACCGGCAGUACCAUGUUACUUGCGGUGGUCCGAGCAACCUAUCGUGUGGAGCAGAGAGGAUCAUCCGCCCCGGGUUGCAAUCCGGGUCACCUGGCUUUGGUGGUGGCACCUCAGGUGGGAGGUUAUAAGUUCACCAAGGUGCUCAUGGAUGGAGGAAGCAGCAUCAACAUUCUGUAUUAUGAGACCUUCCAUCGCAUGGGGCUGACAGACAAGAGUCUUAUACAGUCCAAUAUUGUUUUCCAUGGUGUGGUACCAGGUAAAUCGGCAUAUCCUGUUGGUAAGAUCGCUUUGGAAGUUGUGUUUGGUGAUGAACAUGAUGCUCGGUCUGAGACAUUGACCUUUGAAGUGGUGAGGAUCCAGAGCCCGUACCACGCACUAUUUGGGCGACCGGCUUAUGCAAAGUUCAUGGCAAGGCCUUGUUAUAUUUACUUGCAGCUCAAGAUGCCGGUUCAUAAGGGGACCAUUACGGUUCACGGAAGUCGUAAAAUCGCUUUGGAUUGUGAAGAAGGUGAUGCGGCCUAUGCUGAAUCGGUUUGUGCUACAGAGGAGCUGAAGUUUUAUAAGGAAAAUGUUGAUCCGGCAGACAUGACCCCUCUGAAGAAGCCUACCACUGAGCAUGACCCAACCCUACAUUUCAAACCGGCUGAUGAGACUAAACUUGUUGAGUUCAUUCCUGGCGAUUCAUCCAAGCAGUUCAGCAUCAGCACAAAUCUGGAUCCGAAAUAGGAAAGCGCGCUCAUCGAGUUCAUCCGUGAGAACCGGGACAUUUUUGCAUGGAAGCCUUCUGACAUGCCAGGUGUACCGAGGGAACUCGCUGAGCACACUCUCAAUAUUGAUCCCAAGUUUAAACCAGUCAAGCAAUUUCUUCGUCGCUUUAACGAGGAAAGACGCAAGGCAAUUGGUGAAGAGGUAGCCCAGCUAUUGGUUGCUGGUUUUAUCGUGGAGGUGUUUCACCCUGAGUGGUUGGCUAAUCCGGUGCUUGUUCUUAAGAAAAACGGCACUUGGCGCAUGUUUGUGGAUUACACAGAUUUGAACAAAGCUUGUCCGGCUGAUCCUUUUGCUCUCCCGCGUAUUGACCAGAUCAUUGAUGCGACGGCGGGUUGUGAGUGUUUGAGUUUUUUGGAUGCUUAUUCAUGCUAUCAUCAGAUCAAAAUGCCAGUUAAGGACCAGGAGAAGACCGCCUUCAUCACUCCCUUUGGAGCCUUCUGCUAUGUUUCUAUGCCCUUUGGGCUCAAGAGUGCCCAUGCAACUUAUCAGCGUUAUUUGCAGAAUUGUCUUCAUACUCAGAUUGGGCGCAAUGUUCAUGCCUAUUUUGAUGACAUUGUGGUAAAAUCCAGGAAGAAGGAGACACUGAUAGAUGAUCUCAAGGAGACCUUUGACAAUCUGCGGGUUUACAAGAUGAUGCUCAAUCCGGACAAGUGUGUCUUUGGUGUUCCGGCAGGCAAGCUUCUAGGCUUUCUGGUGUCCAACAGAGGCAUUGAGGCUAAUCCGGAGAAGAUCAAAGCGAUUACAUCUUUGGCUAAACCGGCAUGCAUCAAUGAUGUUCAGCGUCUGGCAGGGCGGAUUGCAGCCCUAAGCCGGUUUAUCAGCCGUUUGGGAGAGAAGGCAAUCCCUCUAUAUCAGAUGUUGAAGGAAACAGACACCUUUGUCUGGAGUGAUGCGGCUAAUGCGGCGUUUGAAGACUUGAAGCGGCAGUUGGCUGAACCGCCGGUCCUUGCUGCUUCGGUUGACAGGGAGCCCUUGUUGUUAUAUGUGGUUGCUAAUGCUCGUGCUGUCAGUGUGGCAAUUGUGGUGGAGCGCAAGGAGGCUGGUAAGGAGUACCCGGUUCAACGGCCGGUUUACUAUAUCAGUGAGGUGCUUAUCGAGUCAAAGCAGCGAUAUCCGCAUUGGCAGAAGCUAGUAUAUGGGGUUUUUAUGGCAAGUCGGAAGCUCAAACAAUAUUUCCAAGGCCAUCCCAUUACGGUUGUCAGUUCAGCUCCGUUGGGUGAUAUAAUUCAGAACAGGGAAGCAACUGGCCGGGUUGCAAAAUGGGUAAUUGAACUUGGUCCACAUGGUUUGAAGUAUGUGCCUCGAACAGCCAUAAAAUCUCAAGCACUUGUGGAUUUCAUCAAUGACUAGACCGAGUUACAAGCACCAGAGGACAAACCGGAUAGUACAUACUAGACGAUUCAUUUUGACGGAUCCAGGCAAUUGGAGGGCUCGGGGGCUGGAGUUGUUCUUACUUCCCCUCGAGGUGAUAAGAUUCGUUAUGUCCUCCGCUUAAUGUUCCCCUGUACUAACAAUGCAGCUGAAUACGAGGCUCUGCUCCAUGGGCUCCGAGUGGCCAAGGAGAUGAAUUUAAGCCGGGUACGAUGCUUUGGAGAUUCUGAUCUGGUGGCUCAACAAGUUUUUGGCACUUGGGAUUCUAAGGAUCCACUCAUGGCGGCUUACAGACGUGAGGUGGAUAUUGUGGCGGGUUACUUCAAAGGGUAUCAGGUUGAGCAUACCGAUCGGCAUAAAUGAAGCAGCAGAUCCUUUAAGCCGGCUUGGAUCUCAGCGUAAACCGGUACCUCCCAAUACCUUUUUAGAUAUUUUGCAUAACCCAUCUGUUAAGUUACCUACAGAGGAGGAUUUGGUUGUUCCUGAUCCGAAGGCUCAAUUGGUGGCCGCUUUACACGUUGUGCCGGAUUGGACGGUUCCAUAUUUGGCGUAUAUGAACCGGGGCGAGUUACCAGAUGAUGAAGUCCUGGCUCGGCAGAUAGUCCGGCGGUCCAAGUCCAUGGUUAUUCACAAUGGCGAGUUACACCACUGCAGCAUUUCAGGCGUAUUUCAGCAUUGUGUUUCUCCGGAAGAAGGCCAAGAGAUCCUACGGGAAAUUCAUGAAGGGGAUUGUGGUCAUCACGCCGGUUCAAAGUCCCUGGUUGCAAAAGCUUUUCGUCAUGGAUUCUACUGGUUGACAGCUCAUGCUGAUGCGGAGGAUUUGGUAAAGCGAUGUGACGCUUGUCAAAAGUUUUCACGCAGAGCUCAUGUUCCGGCUCAAGAAUUAAGGAUGAUUCCCAUCACUUGGCCUUUUGCCACUUGGGGGCUUGACAUGGUAGGACCCUUUAAACGCUCCAAGGAUAAGAAGACCCACCUGCCGGUGGCAGUUGACAAGUUCACCAAGUGGGGGAGCCAGUUAGCAAGUGUGAUGCGGCUACGGCGGUUCAAUUUCUCAAAAAGAUUAUCUUCCGCUUUGGCUUUCCACACAACAUCAUUAUGGACAAUGGCACAAACCUCCCUAAGGGUGAGAUGGAAGAUUUUUGCCAGAGAGAACACAUCCAGCUUGACUUAGCAUCCGUGGCGCACCCCCCAGACCAAUGGUCAAGCGUAGAGAGCUAAUCAAGAAAUCUUGAAGGGUAUUAAACACCGGCUUAUGGUUCCUUUAAAGCAGACGCCGGGUUGUUGGGUGGAAGAAUUACCUUCUGUGUUAUGGAGCAUCAACACCACCCCCAACAGAUCGACGGGUUACACGCCUUUCUUUAUGGUGUAUGGGGCAGAGGCGGUCCUCCCAAGUGAUAUUUGUCACGAUUCGCCCCGGGUUGCUAAUUAUGUUGAAGUGGACAAUGAGCAAGCAUGCCAAGAGGCGUUGGACCUGUUAGAUGAAAAACAAGAUAUGGCUUUAGCCCGUUCAGCGGUUUACCAGCAAGACGUGCGGCGUUAUCAUAGCCGUCGGGUUAGGUCAAGAACCUUUCAAGAAGGCGAUUUGGUGCUCCGUCUCAUCCAGGAUCAGACCGACAUCCACAAGUUAUCCCCACCUUGGGAAGGACCCUUUGUGGUCAGCAAAAAUCUGCACAAAGGAUCAUACUACCUCAUUGAUGUUCGAGACAACUCACGCACUUCUAAGGAGGAGACUCGGCGGCCGUGGAACAUAGCUCUCCUACGGCCUUACUACACCUGAGCCCUAGGCUUUUCUUAUGUACAUAUUUCGACAAUGUAUAUAUUAUGAUCAAUAAAAUAAAUCAACAUCCUUGCUAUAAGCAGGGCCUCUCCUAUUUUUUCUCAAAUAUCCUUUGAGUUACAUGGGGGCUUCAGCUAACAAAGCGGAGUACUACCUGUUAAACCGGCUAUCAGACCACCAUACAGCUUGGGAGCUUCACACCCAAGGGGCCAAAGAGAGUCUGGAUGCUAUGCACAGCUCAAACAUAGGCACCCAAUGAGCACAGCUCAUCACGUUACUUGGGGGCUCUUUGUGUAAAGUAACAAAGAGUUUGAAAGGACCCUUGUAGCUGGGUAUUGACCCACGGCCUGGAAGCCUGGUAUAUUUACCUAAAACCCUGGGUUAACCUGCCUUCAUCAAGUAAGCCACUCCUAUCCAGGUAAUCCUGGCACGACCCUCCGAACGUUUGACAGUUACUCUCAUUGAGACCUUGAACUUGUCAAAGUUAAAACGGUGAUUGGUUAGUUGGAGGCCCAUCUUAAAAGGAUUUGUCAAAUGGUUUAACUCAGCGGCCUGGCAGCCCAUGAAAAGCCUCGAAUUUGGGCCUGGCAGCCCUCGAAAAGCCUCGACUACACGGUUUUAUUCGCACUUGUCACUAUUUUUCUCUUGAUGACUUUUUGUUAAACCGGUAUCUUUGAUCUGGUAUGGCUUUUCAGUCAUCAUAUUAACCUGGUGUUUGUUAACCCAGCUUGGAUCUUAGCUAAAAGUUGACGAACCUUAUUAUUAAACCGGAGUUUAUUAACCCGGCCUGGCUUUGACUACUUGUCGCCAGUUUUGCUCAUCUGGUGUUCAUCGUAACCCGGCAUGACUUCUUAUACACCAUCAGUACAAGGUGAAGUUGUACAAAAAUUCAAGAUUUGGGUCUUUACCCUUAUUACAAUCAAAGUUGGUAAACCAACUAACGUGAUAUCACAUCACAUGUAUGAGCUAUUUCAUAUUUCUUAAAGUUUGGUUAUCAAUGAGGCUUUGUCUUGGGCAUUAUGACCCGUCCGGCGGUAAACCGCCAGGACAAUUCUUUUAUGCAGACAUAGGGAUUGCAUGUUAUGAUAUAUGAGCCAACAUUGAAAUUUUCAUGAGGGAUCACAUAAAGUUUUUCCCAUUGCACGAUGGCAGCAGAUCAACGUAUUUUUGCUACCCUAUUACAAGGCACCUAAACAGCCCAAAAUAUGGAAUUGUCUUAAACCGGACAGUUUUGUGCAAUAUCAACCGGAUUGCCGGAUCAAGCAUCAUCGCCAUGUUGACGUGAAGUAGACGGGUCAUCUGGCGUCGGUUCAACCUCCUCCUCCCCAUCCAGUGGUUGGAAGUCAGCGGUGGUCCAGUCAAUCCGGCUUAAGGCCUGAAAGACAGCCUCUUCACUUAUAAGAUCAGUCGGAUCAACGUCAGGGGCGUAAGUGUGCUUACGGAUUGGCGGAAUAAGAUUUUGCACUUCUGGGAUGACAGCCUCAACCCGUUUGUUGUCAGCAUCAUAGAAGGACCGGUGAACCGUCAAGUUUGCUUCUUCUGCCAACUGACUCGCCAGAGGACGCAUCUCCCUUGUCACACGUUUGAGGGCGUCGUUAUCAAACACUGCCCCAUUUUCCUGUUCACUGGGAAAGCCCUUGGCAAUAUCAACCGGAUCAAGGUCAGCUAUCCAUGCCUUGGCUCGGGUCAGUGCUAACAAAGCGCCAGCCCUGGCGGCGGAUCGUUUCACCUCUUCUAUCUGAGCUGGCGUCGUAGAUAACUUAGCCAAAGUGUCCUUGAUCAGUGUUGGGGCCGCAUUUUCAUAAGAAGUUGCACAGAUAACCCGUUGGGCACUGGUAUACAACUGUUCAAUCAGCGUAUAGGCGGCCUUGGGCUUCCUCCGCAUAUCAGAGCCCAGCUGAGCAAUGCGGCCACCUACAGCGGUUUAAGGAUUUCACGUUAAACCAGCAAAAUUUCAAAGCAGAAUAUUCAUAAAGCAUUUCCCAACGGUACUUACCAAAUACUGCAGAAGUCAUAGCAUUGACUUGGCGCUUUAAUCCAGUAAGCUCUUUCGCCACCGGUUUAAGAGCCGAUUCAGCGUCUUCCGCCCGCUUCAGCAAUCCAGCCUUUUCGGUAUCCCAGUUGGCCCGUUCAGACUUGAACCACUCUUUGAGUUGUUCCAUGGUGGUUAAGGCGGUUUUCAAAUCAUCCCUGGCCUUGGUGGUUUCCGCUUGUUGGGAUUUCAAAUUUUCUUGAAGAUCAGCAAUCUGAGAGACUUGUUGAUUUAUCUCACUGUGUAACAGUAAGAAGAGCAUGUCAAUACCUUUUUUGGAAAGUCCCAAGCAUAUAACUAGUUAUACACUUGGCACUUGGGGGCUAAUGUGGAUCACUUUUUUCUAUUGAAUUAUUGAAGUCCCACGGAUUAAUACAAGUUUUAAUCAUGGCACUUGGGGGCUAAUGUGUGUUUGAUCAAAAAUACACAAGGAAGAUCAACAAAGUACAUUAGAAUAUACAAAGUCCCGGUUUGAAUUUCUAAAAAGACAAACCGGCCCUUGGGGGCUACAAUGCAAUGAAGGUAUAGAGUAAAGGAUCAAACGGUUUACCUCAUAGCGCUCCUUCAUCAAAUUUACCAAACCGGCCUCAUAGUCUCGGCUGGUGAAGAGACAGUUUAAGAAGCCAGAAUGAAGGUCCUGAGUAGAUAAAUCAGCAUAGUCUGACAGGUCGGUUUUGCUUUUCCCCUUGUUCAUAAAUGCAAAUUCAUCCUUGGCGGAAUGCUUGGAUAAAGCAACUGGGUUGCCUAGGGUGGUAUAUGCCGUGCAAGUAAUAACAAUGUCAUCAUCCUUGGCGGGGCUUGAUGGAUUGACAUUCUCCUUAGCGAGGCUUGGCGCUUUGGCAGCAGGGCUCGGUGGUUUGGUAACAGGACUUGGCGGAUCAGCAGUUGGACUUGGAGGGGUGGCAUCAGGAGUUGAUGUAUCACCUUGUGUCUCCGGAUCAUCUUCUGGCGGAAUAGCAUCAGCGCCUGGAUUUUGCGGAGCAGAGUGGUCUGUGGCAGUCUCGGGAUUUUCGCCCUCAUUUUCUAGGGUCUUCUUCGGAUCAACAUCGUCAGUGUGGCCGCUGGUCUUGGCUUUUUUACUCAAUCCGGCCUUGGCGCUACAACAUCCAAAGUUAGAAUAUGAUAAACCGACGCAGGGAGAAACAACUUGAGAAAAUGUGCUUACCCAGCGACGAUCUUGAGGGGAGGCAACUGAGUGGUUGAUGAACCGCCAGACGAGUUGGAAGAUGCCUUAUAAUUCAGAUCAGACGGUUUGAGUGGGCAUCGGAGGAAACCCUUCAAAGGAUAAAGUUUUUCAGGAGAACAAGUAACCUCUGGACGUUGUUUCCGGGUUGGUGUAUCUGGUAAACCGGACGAGGUGAUUUGCUGGCCACUUUGCCGGGUUGUGCGACGUUCUGCAGCUUCCUGUGUCUUCAAAGAAAAUUUUGGAUCCAAAUGAGCAAGGGGGUGAGAUUGUCUUACUUUCCGAACUGUGCGGCGAACUCUUUGAACCGGCACAAGAUCUGAAUCGGAAGAAAGAGUGAUUACCUCAGCACUGUCUGCAUGGCUGGCCUUAGCGUCCUCCUGGGAACAAUCAUUGUCAAUGAGAUGUAUGAAUAAGGAAUCAAGUAAAUCAAGCUCUACCUCUAGGUCUGAUUCCUCAUCUUCUGGCGGAUUAGAAGACUCGACGGUUUUCUUCUUGGAAAUUUUCUUGUUGGUCUUAGUCUUUGCACGAGGAGCCCUGGCCGGUUUAGUCCGCUCCAGAAGGAGCUAUUGGCCUGUAAUAUUAAGACAAAGAAAUGUUAGCACAUAGUUAAAGCGGAGGCGAAUUAGUAAAUAUUAAGAUAAACUUUACCGCUGGUGGAGGAUUGGAGACGCAAAAAGGUGCCAACCCGGUUUGACUGCAUGCAGAGAUUGUUUCAUCGAGCAUCUUCUUCGCAGAUUCAGUGACUUCAAGGUCCGUCACUACUACUUCAUGGUAGCGUUGAGGGUCUUUGACGUUGCCAGUAUAUUCAUGCAUCAAUCCGGGGCGGCAGCUUAAAGGCAAAAUACCCCAAGAUACCCAGCAGCGGACAAGGUCAAUGCCAGUCAAACCGUUGGCCAUGAGAGCCCGGAGCUUGGCGAUUUGAGGUGCAAAGUUUUUCCGUUCCGCGGCGGACAAGUGUGAAGGUAAUGGGUGACUGUUGCUAAGUCAUUGAGGGCGGUAACCCGACAAGGGAUUUUCUCCAUCAGGGGCAGUGUUCCGGCAAUAAAACCAAGUUUGGUUCCAAUCCUUCGGGUGGCUAUGAUGCUUUGCAUGAGGGAAGUCAACUUCUUUCCUCUUCUGAAUUGAAGCACCACCAAGUUAUGUGUUGGGACCAUCAAAGAACUCUGUACGGCGGUUUAAGUGGAAAAAAUCCCGGAACAACUCCACAGAUGGCUCUUCUUGAAGAUAGACUUCGCAGAAUACUUGAAAGUUGCAUAUAUUGGACACGGAGUUCGGUCCAAUAUCUUGUGGAUGGAGUUGGAAGCUUGCGAGGACAUCCCGGAAAACAUUUGAUCCGGGUGGACUGAAUCCCCGGUCUAAGUGUUGCAUAAAUACAAUCACUUCUCCCUCUUGAGGUUCAGGAGGGCAUUCAGAAUCCGGAACACGCCAAUGAAGGACCCUUUUGGAGGCUAAAGCGCCAGUGGUGACAUAUCCAUUGAUUUUCAUCUCAGUGAUCUUGGACGGAACCCAAUUGCAGGCAGAGAAUUGUUUGGCCAUUCCGGAAGAAAAACUGUGAAAGGAAAAGUAAGGGCCGGUUUACAAUUAACGGUUUACGCAUAUUAUUCAGUGUUAAACCGGCAAAUUGCCAUUCAAUUUGAGUGACCGGUUUAAGAGAGGGCUAAUGGUAUAUGGCGGAUUGGUUAUCAAAGGUUAAACCGCCCGCAGGCAGAAGGGCCUGGGUUCAAAAUCUGCUAAGUGUUGACAGAAACAGAUUUCACACAUCGACGGAAUUAAUUUGGAUCUACCAAAGCUUCAGUAAUAAAAAAAUUAUGCGAUCUAUAAAGGCUUUAAACAGAGCGGAGAAGUUCGUGCGUUCUAUCAAGGGAUUCUGUACAAAAAGGAAGAUCUACUAAGUGCUAAACUGAAUGCGGAGCAACCACCGCACGAGAUUUAUGCUACAGUUGAAUCAAAGAAGCUAUGGCAGAAGCGAAUACGAAGAAACUAGGGACGAACACCUAUGAACGCAGAUGAAAACAGGAGCCCUAAAGUACAGAUCAAGGGGUAUGAGGGAGAAGUUUACCGGAUGCGCAGGAUAGCGGAGGAACGCCGAAGAUCUCUUGUACAACCAGGUUGAUGCAGCGGCCUUUGUUGACGCGGCGUUCGAAGGUCGAGGGCGGCGGCGGAGCUUCAGAGCUAGGGCGUCGCGAGGAAGAAGAAGUGCAGAAGGGGAAGAAAAGAAAGGGCCCCCGGGCUUAUUUAUAAUAAGGCAGAGGAUAAAUGACAGGCGCGAGAAUUGAGGAGCCCGAAACAGCGAGUGGCGCAGCUGUCGCCUCGAUUUCCGGGAUGACAUUAAAUGAAGGGAAUCUUUUUAUUCAUUUUUACAGAUGACGUCAUGAUGAUCUGUUGCUGUGUCCAGAGGAUGACGUCAUGGCGGUUUAACAAGAUCUAAAGGGAAGACAUCAUGGUGGUUUACGAGAAAUGAAGGAAGAUGUUCAUAGGGUUUUCUCUAAAGUGUUGAAGAUUGACAUGAACAGGUUCAAAUCAAUCUGGGGCCUAAUGUUGGGGAUAUAACUACUGAGUGUAAACCGCCCAGGAGGGGCCGGUUCACCCCCAACUAUAUUGAAGCCCACGAAGACUCAGAAGAUGGCGCUUUACUAUGAAACUUAGAGGCCCGGAGCCCAAAGGCGGAUUAGGGCCCAUAAUGGUAAACCGCCAUAGUCAUGUAACUUGUGUUGUAAGAUAAGGAAAGGAGAGACCGAGCUGAACACUUGUACGAGUCGGCCUCGGGACUCUGUAGACCGGUCGGGCGUCAACCCGUGUAUAUAAGGGGACGGCCCGGCGGCGGUUCAGGGACAAGAAACACAACUCGAUAGCCAGGCAUAGCUUGUUUAGCUUCCUCGUUAGCGAGACCCCAAUAAUCCCAUCACAACUAGACGUAGGACUUUACCUUCAUCGAAGGGGUCGAACUAGUAUAAAAUCCCUCGUAUCCUUUGUCCGGUUUAACCCCUUUAAGCUAACCCGUUGCAAUUGCUCCACGACUAAGUCCUUACACGAGGACAUCUGACGUGAUAUUUCCACGACACAUGAGCUGUGUUUUUUGUCCCGCAACGCCGCCCGAGCUGCCCGUAGACCGAUCGGCGACCCGCAAGUUACGCCAUCCAACCGGACGAAAUUCACACAAACACGUAGACAAACUGAUAUUUCAUACAAACAACGACAGAAAUCACAUAAAAUACCAGAUUUUCAUACAAACAUGACGGAAUUCAUUACAUUCAAAUGAACUACGCGGUGCUAGUUCUGGACAGCACAGGUAUAUAAUACCUGGCCUAAAUGGUCGCCAGCUGAUCGAUUUGUGUUCCUGAUGUCCGGCAGCACGAUCACCGGACUAUCGGGAGCCCUGGAGGUAUAUGCUUCAGCGCAAAGGACGGCUUGCUUCCCCACUGCCCAACUGAUAUCAUUGGCUGGUGCCAAAGAUGAUGGUGGCCGGCACCGGUCCGAGUUCAUUACUGGCCACUACUUCGCCAUGGCCGGCACCAGCUCGAGUUCAUCCUAACAUUCCCCUCUUCCGUGGAGCCCAUGCAGGGUCGACGAAGGUCCUCGCAACAAAAGGAUCCGGCAAGACACCUAUUUUGUACGCCGGCGUCGCCUCCACGGUGGCCUUCAUGGGACCCAAGUGGCGGCGGCCUGCCAUGUUCUACUUCUCCUCAAUGAUGGCGGCGGACGCGGAGGCGCUGGCCACCGACUCGUGGCUCUCCGUGCACCCGGCUUCUAUCGCUGCUUGCAUGGCUCGGCCGCCGGCAUGGGAGUCUUGGCCACAGAAACAGGAGACGUGGUACGAGGCGGUGGCGUGGACGGCAGCAACGAUGCCCGUGCGCCUCUUCUUGUCGAGCUCGCCUAGAGCGGUGAGUUGCUGAAGCGUGCGCCGGCUUGGGGCGGCAACUGGCUCCUUCGGGCGAGGGGAGGGAGGUCGAUCUGCGAGCUGCAUAGCUCGUAUCUGGCGGGCUACCCAGCCGACUUGGAUGCGGAAUAACUACUCUUCGUAAGCCAUUGUAAGAGUGGACAAAAUGGUCGAGGAGAUAGGGGAGCGGCGGAGGUGUCGAUUCUUGGCCGGCGUUUGGCCUCGUUUAAAUAGGAUAUUAAAUAGACGGCAGACGGGAGGAGCUCAGCUGGCGUUGCGUUUAACGCCGGCCCGGUCAUGAACGGACGUGUGUCCAGAGUGGGUUUCUCGGCUUCCACAUGGGCGGGUUUCAUGGAAGCGUUUGAAUGCGGCAUGGAGGCGUGUUCAGCCGGGUGUGCAGCGACUGGCGCCCUCGAUUCUGACCUAGGACAACGCACCGUUCUUCCACUGAUGUGUGGGCUCUUUGGGUGCAUGGCCUGCAUGUCAGUGACCCAACGCAGGCAGCGCACAACAGAGGAACCUUUGGUGGGCCAGGGCGGUCAGAAGCGGGCAUUUCAUAAAUCGAUGAUUGUUCAUUGAGUGUGAUGUCAUCUUUUUCAUGUAGAUAAGCCUACUUUGUUGAUAGCCCGUUCGAUACGUUGUGAUUCAUAAAGACCGCUGCAAACAUCAGUGUUCUGCUUAUCACAGAUAAGAUUGAUUAAUACCCGUAACAAUCCAUGUCCUUAACAAAGGGUGCAUGCACGUAUAGGUUGAGCGUGUGUCUUGUGUUGUGUGUUGUGUGCAUGCACGCGUGCGAGUGUUGCGUGCGUGCAAGGGUACGUUUUAGUGUUGCAUGCAUGGGUGCGUACGUGCAUGUGUUCGUGAGUGCAUGUGUACGUGUCAGUGUUGCACACUAGCAUGUGUGCGUGUGUACGUGUCAGUGUUGCACGCCUGCAUGCGUGCGUGUCUUGCGUGCGUGCAUGUGUAUGUUAUGUGUACGUGUCAGUGUUGCAUGCCUGCGUGCGUGCGUGUCUUGCGUGUGUGAAUGUGUACGUGCAGGGUGAGGCUACACGUCAGUCGACUGACUUUUUCAUCUCUGGUCAUUAGAUUUUCCAGCCGUUGGAUACGAAAUCAAGGGCCUCCAGUUUAUCAUCAAACUCCACCCCCCCUGAGCCGCCAGCCCCCGCCGGCCCGCCCUCCCUGNNNNNNNNNNNNNNNNNNNNNNNNNNNNNNNNNNNNNNNNNNNNNNNNNNNNNNNNNNNNNNNNNNNNNNNNNNNNNNNNNNNNNNNNNNNNNNNNNNNNNNNNNNNNNNNNNNNNNNNNNNNNNNNNNNNNNNNNNNNNNNNNNNNNNNNNNNNNNNNNNNNNNNNNNNNNNNNNNNNNNNNNNNNNNNNNNNNNNNNNNNNNNNNNNNNNNNNNNNNNNNNNNNNNNNNNNNNNNNNNNNNNNNNNNNNNNNNNNNNNNNNNNNNNNNNNNNNNNNNNNNNNNNNNNNNNNNNNNNNNNNNNNNNNNNNNNNNNNNNNNNNNNNNNNNNNNNNNNNNNNNNNNNNNNNNNNNNNNNNNNNNNNNNNNNNNNNNNNNNNNNNNNNNNNNNNNNNNNNNNNNNNNNNNNNNNNNNNNNNNNNNNNNNNNNNNNNGACUGGUCAAUUGAUCGUGUUAUCAACAAAUUAUGGAGCUGUAUGGUGAGCCAGUGACCGUAUGAUCACCCUAAAAUGUACUCCUAUUUUAUUAACACAGUACAGACUCAAACUACCAUUUCUUUCUUUCAUAUACGGGCUGAUAGGUGGGCCCCACGGUUACGCGCCCCGAUGGUGCAACACUAGUUGUGCCGCGUGGAACGUUUGACUGGUCAAUUGAUUGUGUCAUCAACAAAAUACGGAGUUGUGCGGGUGAGCCAGUGACCAUAUAAUCAUGACAUGUAUUUGUUUAACACGGUACAGACGCAAGGGCUCAUAUAUACGCGCAAGCACUCACCGCUAUAAGCGCACACAUGCGAACCCUACCCCUAUGAGCACCUUCGAGAGAGUGGGCCAGCAUAUAUGAUCUUGAGAUUUUAGGAAGUCACCAUAGGUGCCUCAUAGUCGAGUGGAACGUCUCCUCCCACUGAACGUGCAUCGCCGGAAAAUACUGAAAUUAACACAAGAUAAAUGCGAGCACCGGGACUUUAACCUUGGUGGGCUCGAGAAACCACUGUCCUCCUAACCAUCCAACCACAUGUUGGUUAGCACGACAAAAUGUAUGUGGUGACCGUGAUGAGCUUAUUCUGAAGUCCAGUGACCAUAUCGUGCUUUCGCUUCAAAUACAAUGACUGUAAGUGUUGUCAACAAAAUACGGAACACGCAUCAAAUGCAAAGUCUGUCAGUGUCAUCAACAAAAUAUGGAGACGUAUCGUGAGCUAGAUACUGUUGUACUAUUGUAUAUGCUUAUUUUCUUAGUGGCCGAUUGCGUGUGUGGUGUGGUGGGCACAUCAUUUCUAGUUGUGGUGGGUCAACAUGAAGACUCAUGGGUCGGUUCCAUCCUGCGCCAGAUAUAGGUUGGACCGAGACAUGUUAUACGAAGACCCAUGUGGAGGACUCGGCGUACAACACGAAGCUACCAGAGUCGCGGAGGACUCUAUCCCCACUGGUGAUAAGCUGACUAUAUAUGAUUCGUAACCCUAGGCCCUUAGUAUGUUAUACAAGCUUGGGGGCUAGUUCGUCGAUAGUAUACACACACGCACAAUGCCUGGUAUUCACGUGUACUUUGUACACACCCCUAUCACUAAUAUACAGUACCAGGAGUAGGCUCUUUCUACAACUGCAAGGGUCUGAUCCGAACUAGGGUAAAACUUUGCCUCGUAUUACCAUCCAGCCUAACAGCCAGGGAUAUCCUACCGAGUGAUAUGAUGAAAUCAUAUUUACCAACUACUAAGAGAGAGGUGUGUCAAGGGGGCAACGUGUGCGAGAGAGGCCUAAAGAUAAUGUGUGUGCGGGAGACACGUAGGCACAUAUAUGUGCGUAUAGAGGGCUAGUAGAGACCGUGCAUGUGUAUAUAUGCAUGCGAGAGAAAUAGUGUUUUCCAACUGAGAUUAGUGAGAAGAGUGGUACAUAGUAGUCAGAAAGAGAGAGAGAGAGAGAGAGAGAGAGAGAGAGAGAGAGAAACAGAGAGAGAGUGAGACACCUCGACACCCUGAGAGAGAUUGUGAGCAUGUGUGAAAGAGAAAUACCAUGCAUAUAAAGUGUGUGCACUUAUGCGUUAGAUAGAGAGAUAUAUAACGCGUUUGUGAGAAUGGGGCGAGGCAUAGUGCAUCUACAUGUAAAAGGCGGUUCUAUGCAUUAAAUUAAAAUAUAAAUGGCAUUAUUAUUUUUGGAUGAGAUCAUGAAUUUUGCAAAUUGCAUAUGGACGAAAAUCGUUCUAUCAGACACCCAUACUCUAUUGAAUUCUAGCAUGUGCAUGUGUUUAUUUCAUAUUAUCGAUCCAUAGAGUGAGAGCGGUUUGAAAUACAGGCAAUGGAUGCAUUUCCAAUUCAUAUAUAAACAUUAAUUAGUGCACUCCAUGUUGUUAGUGUGAAGCACUUUAUACAUUUGUCACUUGCAUGGAUACAUUCCAAAUUGCUAGCUACGAAAUAGAAUACAUGUCGAAUUCAACAUAAAGGGGGUUUCGAAGAUUCGAAUUCAUAGGAAGUGCAUUCUUCUAUUUGAACCCGAGAUAAUGGCAUUUGUAAAUCAGAUGUAAAAGGGGGCAUCAAUCUUUGUUGUGAGUUUGAACAUGCUAUAUAUAUUCAUACGCAUAUCUAACUUUUUAUUUUUUGCAACCAAGGAGAUUAUAUCUGGAACCAUGCAUGAACUGAGGUAAGUUGCAUAUUUUUUAAUGUAUAUUCAAAUGUACCCCCUCCAUUCCAAAAUAAUCGUAGCUUUAGGAUUUUCAAGAGUAAAGAUUUGUGAAGUUUGACAAAUCCUGACAGUUCAAUUCAAGAGAACCGAAAACGUUAAUGCUUCUACUCCCAAAUAUUGAACGAAGCGCCAAAUAGGCCUAUGGCCACCCGAGACCGCGCGAGACUAAUGUUUGGUGGUAGGAAAUUAUUGUCCUGACUCUGGCCCGUGUAGCCUAUUGGCCCGAUGUCCAAAGGUCUAAACCGGGGUAGGUUUGUAACUUCACCAAGACGCCAGUCUCAACCGCCUCCGAGAAGCAUUCAUACGCCGUGGGCGCCUAAACACCCAUGCGCUCGGCCGAAAUCUAUCCCGCCCACAUUUGGGACACCUGACAUGACUGUCCUACCCCCAACCCGCAAUAUGUCCAAAAUUUUAGAUGGGGGAAAAGUUUGUAACUUUCCCCAAAUUUCAAACAAGCGCGUCUCAAACUGAAACAUUGUUCCCCCUUAGUUCCCCGCUGAUACGUCUCCAACGUAUCUAUAAUUUAUGAAGCAUUCAUGCUAUUUUAUUAUCUGUUUUGAAUGAUUAUGGGCUUUAUUAUACACUUUUAUAUUACUUUUGGGACUAUUAACCGGAGGCCCAACCCAUAUUGUUGUUUUAUUGCCUGUUUCAGUAUUUCGAAGAAAAGGAAUAUCAAACGGAGUCCAAACGGAAUGAAACCUUCGGCAAAGUUAUUUUUGGAACAGAACCAAUCCCAGGAACUUGGAGUGCAAGCCAGGGGAUCAUCGAGGAGGCCACGAGACAGGGGGGCACACCCACUCCCCCUGGGCGCGCCCUGCCCUCUCGUGGGCCCCUCGAGGCUCCCCCGACUGACUUCUUUCGCCUAUAUAUUCCCUCGUACCCUAAAAACAUCGAAUAUCAAGAUAGAUCGGGGGUUCCGCCGCCGCAAGCCUCUAUAGCCUCCAGAAACCUCUCGGGAGCCCUUCCUGGCACCCUGCCGGAGGAGGAAUCCUUCAUCGGUGGCCAUCUUCAUCAUCCCGGCGCAAUCCAUGAUGAGAAGGGAGUAGUUCACCUCGGGGCUGAGGGUAUGUACCAGUAGCUAUGUGUUUGAUCUCUCUCUCGUGUUCUCCCUCAUGUUCCCUCUAUGGCACGAUCUUGAUGUAUCCCGAGCUUUGCUAUUAUAGUUGGAUCUUAUGAUGUUUCUCCCCCCUCUACUCUUUUGUAAUGGAUUGAGUUUUCCCCUUUGAAGUUAUCUUAUUGGAUUGAGUCUUUUAUGAUUUGAGAACACUUGAUGUAUGUCUUGCCGUGAUUAUUUGUGGUGACAAUGGGAUAUCAUGUGCCACUUGAUGUAUGUUUUGGUGACCAACUUGCGGGUUCUGCCCAUAAACCUAUGCAUAGGGGUUGGCACACGUUUUCGUCUUGACUCUCCGGUAGAAACUUUGGGGCACCCUUUGAAGUACUUUGUGUUGGUUGAAUAGAUGAAUCUGAGAUUGUGUGAUGCAUAUCGUAUAAUCAUGCCCAUGGAUACUUGAGGUGACAAUGGAGUAUCUAGGUGACAUUAGGGUUUUGGUUGAUUUGUGUCUUAAGGUGUUAUUCUAGUAUGAACUCUAUGAUAGAUUGAGCGGAACGAAUAGCUUCAUGUUAUUUUACUAUGAACUCUUGAAUAGAUAGAACAGAAAGGAUAACUUUGAGGUGGUUUCAUACCCUACCAUAAUAUCUUCGUUUGUUCUCCGCUAUUAGUGGCUUUGGAGUGACUCUUUGUUGCAUGUUGAGGGAUUGUUAUAUGAUCUAUUUAAGUUAUUAUUGUUGAGAGAACUUGCACUAGUGAAAGUAUGAACCUUAGGCCUUGUUUCCUACCAUUGCAAUACCGUUUACGCUCACUUUUGUUACUUGUUACCUUGCUGUUUUUAUAAUUUCAGAUUACAAAUACCUUUAUCUACCAUCCAUAUUGCACUUGUAUCACCAUCUCUUUGCCGAACUAGUGCACCUAUACAAUUUACCAUUGUAUUGGGUGUGUUGGGGACACAAGAGACUCUUUGUUAUUUGGUUGCAGGGUUGUUUGAGAGAUACCAUCUUCAUCCUACGCCUCCUACGGAUUGAUAAACCUUAGGUCAUCCACUUGAGGGAAAUUUGCUACUGUCCUACAAACCUGUGCACUUGCAGGCCCAACAACGUCUACAAUAAGAAGGUUGUGUAGUAGACAUCAAGCUCUUAUCUGGCGCCAUUGCCAGGGAGGCUAGGUAAACGGCACUCACACCCCGUCAACUAAGCUCUUUUCUGGCGCCGUUGCCGGGGAGGUGAGUGCUUGAAGGUAUAUCUUUCGAUCUUGCAAUUGAAUCUUUUUGUUUCUUGUUUUAUCACUAGUUUAAUUUAUAAAAGAAAACUAUAAAAAAAUGGAGUUGAGUUUGUCUCAUACGCUUCAUCUUUUUAAUAUCUUUCAUGAGAAUGAUGGUAAAGAAAAUUGUGCUCAAGUGCUAGAAGAAGAAUGCAUUAAAUUGUUUGGAACUAAAUAUUUGAAUAAUGAGCAUGAUUGCAAUGUUUUUAGAAUGAAUUCCUUGAAUAUCCAUGAUGCUAAUGAUAUGCAAAGCCACAAGCUUGGGGAUGCUAUGUUUGAUGAAUAUGAUAUUUUUUGUCCCCCAAGUUUUGAUGAGAAUAUUUAUUAUGAUGAAAGCAUGCCUCCUAUUUAUGGUGAUUAUAUUGAUGAAAGUGGGUUUGGAAGAGUGUCAACUUUAGGUAGUAUUGAUCCCACUAUUUUGGAGGAUAUUGAAUCUUAUUGUGAUGAAUAUGAAAGUGUAUUUGGAAGAGUGUCAACUUUAUUUAGUGAUGAUUCCACUAUUUUGGAAGAGGUUCCAAUUGAUUAUGAGAACAAAGUUGCUAUCCAUGAUGAUUAUUGUGAUGACUUGUAUGCUAUUCAGAAUAAUGAUAACCAUGAAACUUGUCAUCAUGAUUUUAGUUUUCAAUUGGAUUAUGCUUCACAUGAUAGUUAUUUCGUUGAGUUUGCUCCCACUACUUUUGAUGAGAAAAAAUUUGGUUAUGAGGAGAGUAGUAAAAUUUCUAUACUUGUAGAUCAUGAAAAGAAUGCUUUAGGUGCUGCUUAUAUUGUUGAAUUCGUUCAUGAUGCUACUGAAAAUUAUUAUGAGGGAGGAACACAUGCUUGUAGGAAUAGCAAUAAUAUCAAGUUUGCUCUGUAUGUGCUUAAAGUUUCAAAGUUAUGCUUGUUUUGCCUUCCUAUGCUAGUUGAUUAUUGUUCCCGUAAGUUGUUUGCUCAUAAAAUCCCUAUGCAUAGGAAGUGGGUUAGGCUUAAAUGGGCUAUUCAUAUUCUUCAUGAUGCUCUCUUUAUGUUUCAAUUCUUAUCUUUUAUGUGAGCAUCGUUGACAUCAUCAUGCCUAGCUAAAAAGGCAUUAAAGAAAAGUGCUUGUUGGGAGACAACCCAAUAUUUACCCUUACUGUUUUUGUGUGUCCACAUGAUUAUUAUACUGUAGUAAUCAUGUUUUAUAGCUUUUGUUUCAAUAAAGUGCCAGGUAGAGCCUUUGGGAAGACUUGGGUGAAGUCUAUAGGAUCUUGCUGUAAAAAACAGAAACUUUAGCGCUCACGAGAUUAGCUGCCAUUGUUUACUGGAGAGUGCUUUUAGGUUGAUUCUUUUUGCAGAUGAUUAAUAUACAAAUUCCUCAGGUCCACCAAUUUAUUUAAUAAUUGUUUGGUUUCCAUAAGUAUACAUUUGAUACAGAUUACUACAGACUGUUCUGUUUUUGACAGAUUCUGUUUUCAUUGUGUUGUUUGCUUAUUUUGAUGAAUCUAUGGCUAGUAUGUAAGGGUAUGAACCAUAGAGAACUUGGAAUAAAGUAGGUUUAACACCAGUAUGAAUAAAGAAUGUGUUCAUUACAGUACCUUAAAGUGGUGGUUUGUUUUCUUUUACUAACGGAGCUUACGAGUUUUGUUUUGAGUUUUGUGUGCUUGAAGUUAUCAAGUUUUGGGUAAAGUUCGAUGGACUAUGAAAUAAGGAGUGGCAAGAGCCUAAGAUUGGGGAUGACCAAGGCACCCAAGGUAAUAUUCAAGGACAACCAAGCAACUAAGCUUGGGGAUGCCCCGGAUGGCAUCCCCUCUUUCGUCUUUGUUCAUCGGUAACUUUACUUGGAGCUAUAUUUUUAUUCACCACAUGAUAUGUGUUUUGCUUGGAGCGUCAUUUUCUCGUGUUAGUAUUUGCUUUAUGUUAUUUAUAAUAAUGUUUUGCAUCUUUAUUUUCAAUAAAAAUGUCAAGGAUAGCCUUUACCAUGCUUAUUUUGCUAGUAUACAUGUUGCUGUUUGAAAACAGAAAGUUUACCGCUGUUGCAAAAAUUCCCUAGAAAAGUACGAGAGUGAUAUAAUGUUGAAUCUUUUUGCAUAUUGAGAUAUGAUAAAUAUUUUACAGCAUAGUAUUUUUCUUAUAAUUUUUGGAGUUAGGGAAGUAUGAUGAAUCUUGCAUUCUUUACAGACUAUACUGUUUUGGCAGAUUGCUGUUAUGUUUGCAUUGUUUGCAUAUGUUUGCUUGUUUAAUGAUUCUAUUUGAGGAUAGGAGUAUUAAAUAUGCAGAGACAUUUAGUAUUCAAUGUUAGUGAUUUGUUACAGUAGAAAAUGAUAAGGUUUUGCAUUGGUUUAUACUAACCUAUCUCACGAGUUCUUGUUGAGUUUGGUGUGGAUGAAGCUUUUGAUAAAAAGGGAAACCGUGAUAUGAGAGGAAUUAAGGAGACACAAAAGCUCAAGCUUGGGGAUUCCCAAGGCACCCCAAGAUAAUAUUUCAAGAAGUCUCCAGCAUCUAAGCUUGGGGAUGCCCCGGUAGGCAUCCCACCUUUCUUCUUCAACAACUAUCGGUUAGUACCGGUUGAACCUAAGUUUUUGCUUCUUCACAUGAGUUGUGCUAUCCUUGCAAUGUCAUUUUGUUUUGCUUUGCUUGCUGUUUAAAGAAAAUACCAAGAUCUGAAAUUCUUUAUUGAGAGAGAGUCUUCAUAUAGCUACAUAAUUAUUUAACUACUCACUGAUCUUCACUUAUUUCUUUUUGUAGUAGUUUUUCAUUUACUCGUGUGCUUCACUUAUAUCCUAUGAGUAAAUGGUUGAAUGAGUUGAAUGUCAUAGACCUGAAAUUAUAUAUGUCUCAUUCGCUUAUCCCAUGGGGAGUAGUGACUUCACAUCUAAGAAGUAGAGGUUGUAAACUUAUUGACGGUUAGCAAGCAUUGUAUUGGUCAUUUGAACAAUUCAUGAAAGAAUAUUGAAGGAAGAGAGAUUUUACAUAUAAAUAUAUUAUCAUAGACAUCUUUUAUAAUUGUGAGCACUUAUUAAGUAUGACAUCCUAAAGAGUUGAUGUUGGACAAGGAAGACAACAUAAUGGGUUAUGUUUUCUCACAUCUCAGUUAAAGUAUAUUGUAAUGGAUCAUUCAGACAUGUUGAGCUUGCCUUUCCCCUUCAUGCUAGCCAAAAAUUCCUAGCACCAAGUAGAGAUACUACUUGUGCUUCCAAAUAUCCUUAAACCCAGUUUUUGCCAUGAGAGUCCACCAUACCUACCUAUGGAUUGAGUAAGAUCCUUCAACUAAGUUGUCAUCGGUGCAAGCAAUAAAAAUUGCUCUCUAAAUAUGCAUGACUUAUUAGUGCGGAGAAAAUAAGCUUUGCACGAUCUUGUUAUGGAAGCAAUAAAAGCGACGGACUGCAUAAUAAAGAUCCAUAUACAAGGGGCAAUAUAAAGUGAUGUUCUUUCGCAUUAAGAUUUUGUGUAUCCAACCCUAAAAGCGCAUGACAACCUCUGCUUCCCUCUGCGAAGGGCCUAUCUUUUACUGUAUGCCUUUUACAUUAUGCAAGAGUCAAGGUGAUCUUCACCUUUCCCUUUUUCAUUUUAUCCUUUGGCAAGCACUCUGUGUUGGGGUGAUCCUGAUGUAUAUAUAUCCAAUUGGAUGUACGUUAGCAUGAACUAUUAUUGUUGACAUCACCCAAAGGUGAAUACGUUUGGAGGCAACAUUUUAAGCCCCUAUCUUUCUCUCUGUUUGAUUAAAACUUCAUAACCACAAGUAUUGCGUGAGUGUUAGCAAUUGUAGAAGACUAUAUGAUAGUUGAGUAUGUGAAGUUUGCUAAAUCAAAGCUCUGACAUAGACCCUUCCUGAAAAUAGGAUGAAUUGCAAUUGUUUGAUGACUAAGAAUGAAGUUUGCUAGUUUUCAAGAAAGUUUAUGGUCUAUGCUUUAACAUGUGAAUAGCUUGUUACUUGAUUAUGAAUAGUUUUAUGAGAUGAACUACUGUUAUUACAUAUAAUGAUGCUAGAAAAGGUGAUUGAAAUUAUCAUUGAUCAAACUUGUGCACCUACUAGCAUUCACACUUCAUAAAUUCUUUCCUUUAUCAUUUACCUACUCGAGGACGAGUAGGAAUUAAGCUUGGGGAUGCUGAUACGUCUCCAACGUGUCUAUAAUUUAUGAAGCAUUCAUGCUAUUUUAUUAUCUGUUUUGAAUGACUAUGGGCUUUAUUAUACACUUUUAUAUUACUUUUGGGACUAACCUAUUAACCGGAGGCCCAGCCCAUAUUGUUGUUUCAUUGCAUGUUUCAGUAUUUCGAAGAAAAGGAAUAUCAAACGGAGUCCAAACGGAAUGAAACCUUCGGCAAAAUUAUUUUUGGAACAGAACCAAUCCCAGGAACUUGGAGUGCAAGCCAGGGGAUCAUCCAGGAGGCCACGAGACAGGGAGGCGCGCCCACUCCCCCUAGGCACACCCUACCCUCUCGUGGGCCCAUAAAGGCUCCCCCGACCGACUUCUUUCGCCUAUAUAUUCCCUCGUACCCUAAAAACAUCGAUUGUCAAGAUAGAUCGGGAGUUCCGCUGCCGCAAGCCUCUGUAGCCUCCAGAAACCUCUCGGGAGCCCUUCCCGGCACCCUGCCGGAGGGGGGAUCCUUCACUGGUGGCCAUCUUCAUCAUCCCGGCACUAUCCAUGACGAGGAGGGAGUAGUUCACCCUCGGGGCUGAGGGUAUGUACCAGUAGCUAUGUGUUUGAUCUCUCUCUCUCUCUUGUGUUCUCUCUCGUGUUCCCUCUGUGGCACGAUCUUGAUGUAUCCCGAGCUUUGCUAUUAUAGUUGGAUCUUAUGAUGUUUCUCCCCCCUCUACUCUUUUGUAAUGGGUUGAGUUUUCCCCUUUGAAGUUAUUUUAUCGGAUUGAGUCUUUUAUGACUUGAGAACACUUGAUGUAUGUCUUGCCGUGAUUAUCUGUGGCGACAAUGGGAUAUCAUGUGCCACUUGAUGUAUGUUUUGGUGACCAACUUGCGGGAUCCGCCCAUGAACCUAUGCAUAGGGGUUGGCACACGUUUUCAUCUUGACUCUCCGGUAGAAACUUUGGGGCACUCUUUGAAGUACUUUGUGUUGGUUGAAUAGAUGAAUCUGAGAUUGUGUGAUGCAUAUCAUAUAAUCAUGCCCACGGAUACUUGAGGUGACAAUGGAGUAUCUAGGUGACAUUAGGGUUUUGGUUGAUUUGUAUCUUAAGGUGUUAUUCUAGUAUGAACUCUAUGAUAGAUUGAGCGGAAAGAAUAGCUUCAUGUUAUUUUACUACGAACUCUUUAAUAGAUAGAAAAGAAAGGAUAACUUUGAGGUGGUUUCAUACCCUACCAUAAUCUCUUCGUUUGUUCUCUACUAUUAGUGGCUUUGGAGUGACUCUUUGUUGCAUGUUGAGGGAUUGUUAUAUGAUCUAUUUAUGUUAUUAUUGUUGAGAGAACUUGCACUAGUGAAAGUAUGAACCUUAGGCCUUGUUUCCUACCAUUGCAAUACCGUUUAUGCUUACUUUUGUUACUUAUUACCUUGCUGUUUUUAUAAUUUCAGAUUUCAAAUACCUUUAUCUACCAUCCAUAUUGCACUUGCAUCACCAUCUCUUCACCAAACUAGUGCACCUAUACAAUUUACCAUUGUAUUGGGUGUGUUGGGGACACAAGAGACUCUUUGUUAUUUGGUUGCAGGGUUGUUUGAGAGAGACCAUCUUCAUCCUACGCCUCCUACGGAUUGAUAAACCUUAGGUCAUCCACUUGAGGGAAAUUUGCUACUGUCCUACAAACCUAUGCACUUGCAGGCCCAACAAGGUCUACAAGAAGAAGGUUGUGUAGUAGACAUCACCCGCCUCCCUCCGUUUCCCCAUUCAUACUCUAUGGGCGCGAAAACGCCCUCUCCACCAGCCGUGAAACCCCAGCCUCCUCUGUCCUCCACCCCAUAGCGGCCAAUCCACCGCCGCCCUCCUCCAUCACGCCAGAGCCGGUACCCCGACGUCGUCGUCCAACGCAACCGCAACCGCAACGCCCUCAAGGACUUAGCAGUUGAAGCCGAGGCAGAGCUGCCUCCACGACACCGACGCCGACGUGCGCCGUACCAAAACCACUCCGACCACGCUGUCCUGCGCCUCAUUGCUGCGGCUCCACUGUCGCAACCGUCCACCGCACCGGAGCUUUUCCCGCUACGCCGUCAUUCGCCGCCUUGAAUCUGCUUCCCCGCCGCCGACAGAUGGCCAGUGCACCACACUCAACAACUUGGCCAUGGGUUCGUCCAAGGCUGCACCGUCCUCUACAACUUCUGGUUUCUGGCGAACAACAAGAAGAUCGUCGGAAAAACAGGAGGACACAGCACUACCAGCAGAAAGAGGUACUCCUCUUCCCUUAUUCGUGCAAAUCUUACGUCUCCGCUCACAUCGUAUUCAUCCCACGAAAGAAACUAGUUGAGCGCUUCUUACUGCAUCUUCUUCGUGAUACUAAAUGCACAAUGUUUCCUCCCUUUUACUAUUUCACCUUUGCUAGAGGUCAGUAGCCCACCUGGAUUUCAAUUCAGGGUCAGUCGAACCACAAUUAAAAGAAGCAGCACCCGCUUAGGUGCGCGGAGCACCUAGUCCGCCUAUCCAUGGGGAAGCGGCGCAUCGGUGUGUAUCAUAGGGUUGUGGGGCGCAGGAGCUGCUUGCACCCGAUCUGGAGGUCGGUGGGGCUUGAAUGGAUGGCCGGGGGCGGUGCCAAGCAUGACGGUGCGGUGAGGUCGAGGGGAGGGCGCAAGCAGGGGAGGAAUACUAGGCUGCUGGUCACUGGCGUUUCGAGGAAGAUCGUCAACACUGACUGGCUGGAGGUAGAUGAAGGCGAUCUGUCCGUUCUUUGUACAUCGAACGGUGCAGAAAAAAUGGACUGACCUAUUUGAUUUCAGUCGACUGUUAUUUUCAUAGAAUCUUGUAGUAAUUUAGUGUGCCAUGCAUGUUGUAGAGCUAUCAUAUGUCUCCCAUCAUUUAUUUCUCACCGACCUGCUAUCUGCUACCUUUACACUGUACUAAUUGUGCACACACUUAACCCAUACUCACACUAUUGUUUUUUAUGCAUGGGUAUUUCAGACUCUGACGCAGUGUUGAUGAAUGCAGAAAAGAAAAGACAGAAGUCGCUCCAGUGUAAUUCGAAGAUAAGCACUAAGCGUUUCAGUGCUCUAAUGGGUGCAGUGUCAGCAGUUGGAGACAGUAAACGUAGCUCUGUAGUUGAUGAUCUCAAUUGCCACACACAACCAUCCUAGGUGCUUGCUUUAACUUCGCGCUGUCAAAUGUGGUUGCAUGUUUCAUAUGGUGUCUAGCUUGUAUUGCUUCCAAUUUGGUUAAAUUGCAUCUUCUUACUUUACACAUUAUACCUUUGAUAAUGGCAUGCCUUCCUGUUUUUGAUACAUACUACAUAUGUCUAUUAACCAUGUUCGUACAUCAAACUAAUGCUCUUUUGUAUCCCUCGUCAAUCACUUAUGAUGAGACAGUCACCCGAGUGGGUUACUGUGAGACGCCCUACUCGUUUAAAGAGUGCAGUGUCAUCCUCCCCACAUGAUUCUCAAGAAACAGCAAGGCUAAAUGAAGAUAGUCAACGUAGCUCUCUAGUUGAUCACCACAAUUCCCCCACACCACCAUCGCAGGUGCUUGCUCUUACUUGGCAGUGUGAUAUGUGGUUGCAUGUUGCAUAUGGUGUCUACCUUGUAAUGCUUCUAAUUAGGGUAAACUCCAUCUGCUUAGUUAACACAUUAUACCUGUGAAUAUGACAUGCCUUCCUGUUUUUGGUACAUACUACGUCUUUCUAUUAACCAUGUUCUUACAUCAAACUACUUUUCUUGUGUAUCCCUCACCAAUGCUCCUAAUUUUUUAAAUUGCAUAUCCUUAGCUUACACAUUAUACAUGUGAAUAUGACACGCCUUCCUAUUUUUGGUACAUACUACAUCUGCCUAUCACACCAUGUUCUUACAUCAAACUAUUGUUCUUGUGUAUCCUGCAUCUAUCGCUUAUGAUGAGACAGUCACACGCGUGGGUUAAUAUGAGACGCAAUACUCUUAUAAAGAAUGCAAUUUCAUCCUCUCCACAUGAUUCUCAAGAAACAGCAAGCCUAAAUGAAGAUAUUGAAUGUAGCUCUGUACCUGAAGACCGCACUUCCCCUACACCACCAUCACAGGUGCUUGCUCUAACUUUGCAGUGUGAUAUGUUGUUGCAUGUUGCAUACGGUGUCUAGCUUGUAGUGCUUCUAAUUAGUGUAAAUUGCAUCUGCUUAGUUUACACACUAUACCUGUGAAUAUGACAUGCCUUCCUAUUUUUGGUACACACUACAUCUAUGUGUUAACCUUGUUCUUACAUGAAACUACCUCUCUUCUGUAUCCUGCAUCAAUCACUUACGAUGAGUCACCUUUAUUCAUUGCAUAUUGCAUAUUAUUUCUAGCCUGUUGCCAUGUAUUGCUUCUAAUUUGGUCAAAUACAUUUGUUAGGACACCCUUUUAAUUUGGCAGAGUGAUAUUGGUUUCAUCUUUCAUAUGGUUUCUAGCUUGCAUCGAUUCUAACAAGUUCAAGCACCUUGUGCUUAGUUUACACUUUAUACAUCAUACAUGUCAAUAUGUCACGUCGUCCUGUUUUUCAUACAUAUUCCAUCCUCAUAUCAUGCGGCUGCCUUACAUGAAAGUAGUGUUCGUCAGUAUCAUGCAUUAAUGAGUUCUGAAGAGCAAAUUUUAUUCCUUUUUCUUGUGGGUUUGACUUGACAAGGCAAAAUCAAGAAAGAGGAAGGAAAAGAGUAAGGAAGGCGAUGAUGGUGGUCCUCUGCAGCAACGUAAACGGAGCAUCUGUACCGGUUCUCCUUGUAUUGAUAGUGCAUUACAAGGUCCAAGUCUCUGCUCCCCUACUCCACCAUCCAAGGUGCUUGCUCUAACUUGGCAGUGUGAUAUCUGGUUGCAUGUUGCAUAUGGUGUCUAGCUCGUAUUGCUCCUAAUUAGUGUAAACUACGUCUGCUUAGCUUACACAUGAUACAUGUGAAUAUGACAUGCUUUCCUAUUUUUGGUACAUACUAUAUCUGUCUAUCACACCAUGUUCUUACAUGAAACUACUCUUCUUGUGUAUCCUGCAUCAGUCACUUAUGCUGGGACACCUUUAAGUUGGCAGUGUGAUAUUGGUUUGCGUCUUGAAUAUGAUUUCUAGCAUGUAUUGCUUCUAGUUUGAUGAACGCCACCUAUGACGAAACAGUUUUAACUUGGCAGAGUGAUAUUGAUUGCACCUUCCAUAUGGUGUCUUGCAGUGUUUCUAAUUUUUUGAAGUGCCUUCUGCUUAGUUACCACAUCAUAGGUGUGAAUAUGUCAAGCCGUCCAUUUUUUCGUACAUAUUCCAUCCUCGUAUCAUGACUUUGCCUUUCAUCAGAGUAGUGUUCGUCAGUAUCAUUCAUGAAUGAGUUCUGAAGAGCGAAUGAUAUUCCUUUUUCUUGUCGGUAUGACCUCACAAUGCAAAAUCAAUAAAGCUGAAGGAAAUUGGAAAGGCAUUGGAUGAUGGUGGUCCUUCCGAGCAACUGAAACGGAGGUUCUCUACAGAUUCUACUCCGCCAUCCUCCCAACAAGAUUCGCAAGACAACGCAAGGCUAGAUAGUCAACGUAGCUGUGUAGAUGAUGAGUACAUCUCCCCUACUCCACCAUCACAGGUGCUUGCUCUAACUUGGCACUAUUAUAUGUGGUUGCAUGUUGUGUAUGAUGUCUAGCUUGUAUUGCUUCUAACUUUGUUGAAUUGCAUCUGCUUACUUUACACAUAAUGCCUAUGAAUAUGGCAUGUGUUCCUGUUUCUACGUCAGACUACUAUUCUUGCAUAUCCCACAUCAGUCACUUAUGAUAAGGCACCUUUAAGUCGCCACUGUGAUAUUGGUUGUGUCUUGCAUAUGAUUUCUAGCAUGUAUUGCUUCUAAUUUGUUGAAACGCCAUACAGUUUGAACUUGGCAGGGUGAUAUUGGUUGCAUCUUUCAUAUGGUGUGUAGCUUGCAGUGCUUCUAAUUUGUUAAAAUGCCUUCUGCUUAGUUACCACAUCAUAGGUGUGAAUAUGUCACACCAUCCUAUUUUUCAUACAUAUUCCAUCCUCGCAUCAUGUGUUUGCCUUUCAUCCGAGUAGUGUUCGUCGGUAUCAUGCAUGAAUGAGUUCUGAAGAGCGGAUUUUUUUCCUUUUUAUUAUUGGAUUGACUUCACAAUGCAAAAUCAUUACAGCUGAAGGAAAUUAGUCCGGCAGUGGAUGAUGGUGGUCCUUCAGAGCAACUCAAACAGGGGGCCUCUACAGAUUCUACUCCGCCAUCCUCCCAACAAGAUUCGCAAGACAACACAAGGCUAGACAGUCAACGUAGCUGUGUAGAUGAUGAGCACAUCUCCCCUACUCCACCAUCACAGGUGCUUGCUCUAACUUGGCACUAUUAUAUGUGGUUGCAUGUUGCGUAUGAUGUCUAGCUUGUAUUGCUUCUAACUUGAAUUGCAUCUGCUUACUUUACACAUAAUGCCUGUGAAUAUGACACGUGUUCCUAUUUCUAGAACAUACGUGUACAUGAUGAGCACAUCUCCCCUACUCCACCAUCACAGGUGCUUUCUCUUACUUGGAACUGUUAUAUGUGGUUGUGUUUUCCGUAUGAUGUCUAGUUUGUAUUGCUUCUGAUUAUGUUGAAUUGCAUCUGCGUAGCUUACAACUUAUACCUGCAACGAUCACUUACCCAUAAGACACAUUUAACUUGGGACUGUGAUGUAGGUUGCAUCUUGCAUUGUCUUCUAGCUUGUACUGCUUCUAAUUUCUUGAAAUGGCACUUACGACGAGACACUUUUUACCUGAUAGAGUGAUAUUGGUUGUGUGUUCAUAUGGUGCCUAGCUUUCAUUUCUUCUAAUUUUGUUGAAAUGUCUUCCGCUUACUGUUUUUUCAUACAUAUUCCAUCCUCCUAUCGUACGUGUGAAUAUGAAAUGAUGUCUUUUUUGUAUAUAUUCCAUCCUCCUAUCCUGCGCUUGCCUUACAUCAAAGUAGUGUUCGUCUGUAUCAUGCAUCAACCAGUUAUGCAGAGCUAAUUUUAUUCAUCUUCUUGUGGUUUUGACUUCAUAAGGCAAUAUCAAAAAUAGGAAGGAAAAGGGUAAGUUAGGGGAUGUUGGUGGUACUCUGCACCGACGCAAACAGAGACUCUCUAGAUUUGCCACUGCUACUGCUAAUGAAGUUGAAGUCCCAAGUCUACAUGAUGAAUUCAUCUCCCGUACUCCACCAUCACAGGCGCUUGCUCUAAGUUGACAAUAUGAUCAUUGGUUUCAUGUUGCAUAUGUUGUCUAGCCUGUAUUUCUUCUAUUUUGAUUAAAUUGCACCAGCUAAGUUUAUAUGUUAUACAUGUGCAUAUGACAUGGCUUUCUGUGUCUAGAAUACACUGCAUCUAUCUAUCAUACCAUGUUUUACAUCAAAGUACUGCCGUUGUGUAUCCCGCAUCAGUCACUCAUGAUUGGACGCUUUUAACAUGGCAGUUUGAUAGUGGUUGCAUCUUGCAUUGAUUUCUAUGUUGUACUGCUUCUAAUUUUUCGAAUUGCCACUUAUGACAAGACACUUUUAACUUGGUAGAGUAAUAUUGGUUGCAUCUUUCAUAUUGUGUCUAGCUUGCAUUACUUCUAUUUUCUUGAAAAUCCUUCUGCUUAGUUUGCACAUCGUAGCUGUGAAUAUGUCAUGUCGUCCUAUUUUUCUUACAUAUUCCAUCCUCAUACGGUUAUCUUACAUCAAAGUAUUGCUUGUCUGUAUCAUGCAUCAAUGAGUUCUGAAGAGUGAUUUUAUUCUUUUGUGUUGUGGGUAUAGCUUGACAUGGCAAAGUCAAAAAAGAGCAAGGAAAAUAAUAUAGUAGGGAGUGUUGUUACUCGUCGGGUGAAACGGAAAAGGAUCUGCCGUCGAGAUUCUGCUGGUAUUUAUAGUGCAGUAGAAGGUCCAAGUCCACCGGCUAAAUCUACAAACAUAGUAUCACCUGCUCCACCAGCUGCAGCAUCUGCUUCAACUGUACCAGCAUCUCAACCAGUUACUCGUUCGUUUGCUCCGGAACUGGCCAGUUCCCAAGCUGCCUUCACACCUAACACUACUUCUGGAGCACUGCUAACACAACAGGACUUGGCAAGAUCAGAUGAACCUCAUGAGCAUCAACACCAGGACGGUACCUGACCGAGUCAAGUUGCAGUUGCAUGCUCCUUUAUAUGUACUCUCAUAGUUUGAUGUAUGCUAACACUUUCCAUAUUCGUUGUUGAACUAGCACCACGGCGCAACCGGAAACAGACAUCAGGGAUAAUGCUUGACAGAUUAACAAAAUCUAAAGGAGGAAGAAUGGAGAUCCAUUUUGAGGUAGGUUUAAAAAGGCCACGUGAUGCUACAUAGUCAGCCAAGUUAGUAUCAGAGGCAGCCGUUGCCGUUAGGUGUCAUGCACGUAUCCUCCCAACAUGGAUCCAUUACAGGAAUGAGAAAGACAAUACCUAGUUUAACACCUUCCUUGACCAUUUAUCCGUAAGUAAUGUUAUUCAUUGCAAUUAGUAAUAUUGUCUUGCUCUGUCCCAUACUUUCUAGCUUCCUCCUAAUAAGACUCACAUUCUUUUUUCAACAGAUGAGGUUCAAGUUGGAUCCGAAAGAUGAUGCAACUAAACAAGCAUGCACUCAUGUUUUUCAGUCUACUCUGCGACAGUAUCGAUACCAAUUUAGAAAAUCUGACUUUGAAGGCAAGGCUAACAAUGAAAUCGCCCAAACAUCUCCAGUGGAAUAUAUUACAGAUGAAGACUGGACAGCCCUCGUUAAACACUGGUCUGAUCCAAAGUAUCAGGUAGGCUAUAUGCAUUUGAUCAGGCCACAUAUUGAACUUGUAUUUAUGUAUGUGCCUUACAAGUGUAUCUUGUUCUAGGCUAACUGUUUGAAGAACAAAAACAACCGUUCUAAAGUGAAAUUCCAACAGACAACAGGAUCUCAUAGCUAUAUUGCACACUGCGAGGCUCUUGUAAAUAGCUGUUACUUCCUUCUUUUUUGUGUGCCAUAUUAUCAUAUCUACAUUGAUUUGUUCCAAAUAUAAGCCCGUGCGGACCAAAAAGAACCUGAACCGAAUGCAGUGCAAAUCUUCAAGGAUUGCCACACUAGCAAGAUGAAGGGCAUGAGCACACCAGUUCAAGCCGCUGUUGUAAGUCCUUACUCCUCCUGCCUUGAACUGAUUGGUAUUGCGAUGUGUUCAUUUAACUACUUGGUUUGCAGCCAAUGUCAGUUACUCUGUUCACUUUUAUACACAGUUGUCUUAAUGUAUCAUUUCACCUUACAUGGUUUAAAAGAGAUGAAGGAUAUUCUUUUGUUCUUGAUCUGUAAUCUAGUUGUUAUGUUCACGUGCGCACACAAUGAUAAAAUAGCCUGUUUGUUUUAUAUCUGUUUGCCCAUGAUAUGAAUGAUGUCAUACUAUGUUCAUCCUACUUUAAACCAUGUCUCUUUAUCCUUAGAUGUCAACAAAUGUGAGGAAAUAGAUAAUACAGUAGGCAUGCUACAUGGACAUAUGUUCCGAAAGUGAUUUUAUUAUGUAGUUGGCACUACAAUACAUGCUAAUGCAUUACAGUAGUUCACCAAAAUAAGUUAUGUAUAAACGUUUAACCUACUUUGUUUGUUUUUGUCUCAUUAGUAAAUUAUCUGGUACACUAAUCUACAAGUUCAAACUUUCAGGAAGCUAUGGAACAAAUGAUUGAACAGCCACAACCACCUGAAGGUGACGAGGCUACUACAGGCACAAUGUCACCUCUUGCUGCAGUGCGUCGGUAUCUCUCCACUAACAGUGCAAAAAGCACCUUCCUGCGUAAUUCUGGGUUGGUUGUCAAGGUAACCUCGUCCAAAUCGCCUUCUGAACAAAAUCUUCCUGCUAGACAGAGUGAUAUAUCUGUGCUCCAGACACAAGUCCAAUCCCUAAUGGACGUUGUUUCGGAAACAAGAAUAGUGGUUGAGAAAUGUCAUCAAGAAAUGAAUGGUUUUGAAACCAGACUAUCAGACAUUCGCUUCGUUGUUCAAGAGCAAUGGCGGAACAAAGGUGGAGAUCGUGCUGCUCCAUCAGAUUCUACAGCCUGAAACAUUAGCACUCAGGUCAAAUGAUUUGUGCUUCUAUACAUCUGAUGGUGCUUUUAUUCGGAAGGACUGUAAACUUUAUGCCAAUAGGCCUUUUGUUGUAUGGUUGGAAUUUAUUUUGUUGUGAUACAACAUUUAUGAUGCUGCCACAUGUUGCAGUAAUUACGACGCUAUUUUUGUAUAGUGUAGGUUUAUCUUAGUAAUGUAUUCGGCCGAAAGCUUCGUAGCAGCCCAACAUGCCAACAUUCGUCGGGCCCAUUCCAAUUGGGCUAAAAACGAUUACGGGCCGAAAUUGGCAUGUAGCCCACUAAAAAUAUCUGGGCCAAAAUCAGCAUAAGCUUUCAUAUUUGUCCGGUAGGCCUGUGCCCAUAGUGGGCCUUUAACAGGCCUAAACAUAAUUUGGGCCCUCUGUAAAAUUAGGCCGUUUACAGGUGUAAAUAUCUCGAGCCCAUAAAAAACAUGGGCCUUUAAUAAACCGAAAGUGAGAUUGGGCCCUGAUUGUGCCAAAUAACCCACUGGACUUAGCAGGACGAAAUGGUGGCCCAUUUAUGAUGCAGAUCUUUGACAGUCCGAAAUGGUGGCCCAUUUAUGAUGUGGAUCUUUGACAGGCCAAAAUUCGGACGGGCCGUAAAUGCGCCGACCUAAUAUACGGGCCUUUAAUGGGCCGGAACUUCGGUGGGGCUAGAUUAUCGUCAUUUUUAUAUGGGCCCGAUAUGACGUUGGGCCACAUAUGGCCCAUGGUUUAUGUCCGGCGUUAACAGGCCGGAAAUGACAGUAGGCCGAAAGUGGCCCAAAUCUAUAGUGGGCCUCUAACAGGCCGAAUGUCAGACAUGGCCGAAUAUGACCCAAAUCAUUUACGGUCGUUUAUGGGCCGAAAGUUUUGAUGGCCUAUAAAUGGGCCCAAAUGAAGCCGGACCUUUAACAGGCCGGAAAUACAUCGGGCCGUAAUUCGGCCCAAUUACUUAGCGGACAGUUAACAGGCCAGAAGUGACCAUGGGCCGCGUUGAUGACAAGUUUAGUAUAGGCCGUUGACGGGCCGAUUUUACAGAGAAUGUUGGGCCUUUAGCUGGGCCGGCCCAGUAUGGUUUGCAGAAUCUUGUGGGCCUUUAGCUGGGCCGGCCCAUUGUGGUCCACAAAAUCUUGUGGGCCUUUAGCUAGGCCGGCCCAUUAUGGUCUGCAAAUUCAUGUGGGCCUUUAGCUGGGACGGCCCAUUAUGGUCCACUAAAUUUUGUGGGCCUUUAGCUGGGUCGGCCCAUUAUGGCCCGCUAAAUCUUAUGGGCCUUCAGUUGGGCCGACCCAUUUAAACUUUGUGGGCCACUUUUGGGCCGGUCCACGUGUCAACAUAUCAUAGGCCCAUCUCGAUCGUUGGAUGAGUGACACCUGUGCCAACGCAGAGCUGACGCGUGGAUCCGUCAGCCAAUGAGAAUUUUACACGUGGAAAAUCGGCAUUGGUUGUGGCUGUUAACGGGUUAUCGGAUCCAAAAUCCGACCCGAUAGCUUAACGGCGUUCCGUUACGGUGGAUGCCACGUGUCGGUCACCCUUGACAAAAGCACUUCUGUGACGCGUGAUUUAUCGUCAUGGAAGUGGACACUUCCGUGAUGAUAAUUUUGGUAAUGUCAUGGAACACUUCUAUGACAGCACAGGUAUGACUAUCUUGAUUCUGUCAUAAAUUUGUCAUGGAUGUACAUGCAUGAUAGAAAACGCGACCUACUGUGACAAACACGUAUCAUCACGGAAGUGUAUUUUUUUUGUAGUGAUAUCGGAAAGAAUACUUUCAUUCACCGACAUGUGGGACGUCGACCAUCCUGGUCCACCUGCCAUGCAAAAAAUUAUCCUGGUCUACCCCGGUCGUAUCGCAGGCCCAACCUUUCCCACUGUAAUUUGGUCGGAUGAAGGAACCAUCAUGACUUCGUUGAAUUCCGCUUCUUCAAGAAAACUUACUGUACCUGCAAUACUUCUACCACACACGAAGACUGGACGGCACUGUACCACGUCAUAUCACUGAAACCCACUAGGCAUCCUCAAAAAAAACCACUAGGCCAAACUAGCCCACCUAUAGGUCAUCUAUUUUGGAACGGAGGGAGUACGUCUCUGUACUGCUAUGAUUUUGUGUUGUACGUCUCUGUACUUUUGCUAUGAUUUUCCUACCCUAUGAACCAAAUGAGGCCUGAAUGUAUUCGUGUCGACUAAGCCUACAAUUUUAGGAGCUUGGGCUAUCGGCCGAUCAACGGCAGAUAAGUAUAAGCGUACCACGAGCUCAUUAGCCCUAACGUUUCUCUUCGGUGAGUGUUUUGCGAGUACUAUAGCUCGCACAGUAGCUAGCCUAGUAACACCAAGAAUCAUCAAACAAGCCAUGUUGAUAUGAUAAACAGUUCAAACUUACAUCUAAGCAUACCAUAUAUUACAUGAAAAGCUGGUGAGGAUACAUCUGCUUCAAUAACUCGGAGAGGGUUCGCAUGAUUCACUAUCAAACAAAAGUAGCAAGUACCUCCCACACAAGACAGUGCACUAGCCCUAAGAUGGUUUGAUAACACGCAUCAUUUUGGUAAUUAAACACGGGGCAAUGCAAACUACCCUGAAGGAUUAGCACGACCAACUAUUUCUUCUCAUCGAUCUCUCGGGCAAUGACCACAGCACGGACAGUGGCAUGGGAAUCGAUCUCUGGGGCGAUAUCCACAGGACUGACUGCGACAUCGGAAUCGAUCUCUGGGGCGAUGUCCACAGGAUGGACAGCGGCAUCGGAAUCGAUCUCCGGGGCAAUGCCAAUAGGACGGACCGCGACAUCAAAAUGAUCUCUGGAGCGUUGUCCACAGGACGGGCCGCGACAUCGGAAUCAUCAAGGACGUCCACCGGCACCUGCACAACCCUAACAUAUUAGCAAGCACAUUGGAAAUAAUCAAAAACCACAACUAUGGUAAUAAGCCAUUAUUUUUUACCUUAUGCAGCUCGCGGGGGAUCCCAUCCCUCCGGGGGCCAUCUCCUCGUCCUCGAUGGGGGCCAUCACCUUGCCAGGGGAAUACUGCUUCUCAACAGCGACUAUCUCCUCAAACUCGGCCUUGAGCCUCGCAUAGGUGGCCAUCAGAGUUUCUGGGGUAGGCAUGGUGGGGCCCUUGCUGUUCUUCCAACUUUCUUUGAGGAGUUCGUCCGCCAACGUUGUCAACUCUUUGGCCAGUGCUUGUUUCUUGGAGUUCUUCAUCUCCAUGGGUUGGCCCGCCAACAUGGUCAACUCAUUAGUCGGUGCUCGCUUCCUGGAGAUCGUUGUCUCCAGUGGGUUGUCCGCCGGCAACUCUUUUCCUAGUGCUCCAGGAUCCAUCAAUGAACUGACAAACCAAAAGCAAUCGAAAGGAAACCACAAUCGCAAUGAAAACGGGAAGGCUGUGAGAAUCGGUCGGUGCUUCGCAAAAUGAAGAUUCUUGGAAUGAAAAUAUAGCAGCAUCACUGAUUCGCCCAUCUUUCCUUCGUCGAUACAGAAGAAAAAUGGUAGAAGUGAGUAGCCUGGAGUGAUAUUUUCUUCAAGAAAGGAGAGAAAGGGCUUCAACGAGCAUUACAGUGAAAUGAUGGUUGCUUUGUCCAGUCCAACUUCGAGGCCACUUUACCACUGCUGGUAAAGGUGUGGGUUUUGUGAUAUGACAGGUCAUGACGACCACACCGAGGUGACCGGUGAGUCUCAACUAUAGCACCUCGUUGUGAUUUGGUGGAUGGCACGCGGGCCCGGAUGCUUUGAUGUCCCGCGUGUAGAUAGAGCGGCUAGUCAUAUAGGAGUGCUCAAUAUUGUGCACCGCGACCAAGGCGGAGAGGAAAAUGAGAGAACUACGUAAUUAAUGCAUGAGUUUAAUUAGGGUAGUUUUGUAAAGUACGAGAUACAUUCCUCCAAUCUAAAAAUGCCUUGGUUGAUCAGAUUUGAGAUUUGAGCCCUAUAAACCGGAAGGGAGGGAGUACUGCACGAGGUGUAGUCUAGUCACUUGUUGAAAUCUCUAGAAAGGCAAAUACUCCUUUCCGGUUUACAGGGCUAUACUAUCAAGUACUAGUACUACAAUAGUGGGCUCAAAUAGCAAUUUUGUCUCAUGCAAGAGCCUGGCUAUAUGCGUGCUCCAAGGCACCGCACCAUGCCCCACCCCUACACAAAGACUGUCACGCGAGCGUUCGCAACUGCCACGUUCGGGUUGCGCUUUGGCUCUUCGCCUCUUUGAGAAGACGAACAAUGAUGUUACUCUUACUUCUACAGUAUCGAAUGCACUGCUGCAUGUCCGUCCACCUCGUGCGGGAGGGAUAGCGUGUAGUGAAAGCUUCUACUAGUCCUGCCAGCCACCAUGCUCACGCGCGAGGGAGGGACGCAGCUUCAUUGACUUACUACUCCUGCCUUUGCGUCUAUGACAGGUGGGCCCAACAGGUGGUUGGCCCACCUGUCAUGCAGCCAAAGGCAUGUGCAAUUAAGGCACCGGAGCUCAGUCCGCGAGAGAGAGGGCGUUGUAGUAAUCAAACUUCUUGGACUUGUACGAGUUGACGUGACACAUCAAAGCACUGCACUCGAUAUAAGUCUUUUUACACAUUUCAAAUGGACUACAACAUACGGAUGUAUGUAGACAUAUUUUGCUUCGUAUGUAGUCACUCAUUGCAAUCUCUAAAAAGACUUAUAUUUGGAAAUGGAGGGAGUACAACACAUGCAUGCAUAUAUGUCGUGACUUUCCUUUUGAUACUUGCAUGUGUUGAUUUGAUGCACCUUGCCAAAUUUUGACUAUAAAUUUAACUAGCCAAAUUUUCAUGCAUGUCACAAAAAAUUACGGGGCUGCUUGGAUUGUGACUAUGUUUGUCUUAUGUUGCCACAUUAUUUUUCCCACACUUGCCACACUUGCCUAACUUGAGUUGCUCAAAUUGUUUAUACACACUUUGGCUUGCCUAAGGGAAUCUUGCCACACUUUUUGUGUCUAUGACAUAUGGGGUUCACUGCUAAUAAAAAAAUUCUUGUCUUAGGUAUGGCUAAUAAAAAAGACUUAUAUUUAGGAACAGAGCGAGUAGAAAAUAUAAAUAAUAAUGCAUGUUGGGGCAACCCACAUUUCCGAUAAUUUUAGCCGUGGGCUUGUUCACAAUUUUUAUGAGGGGGUGGUUGUUCAUUUAAUGGAGGGACUAGUACCAGACUUGAAUGAUACAAAGUGCGACCUGGCACACCGUAACACCACUUGGAACAAGCGGGUAGCUAUCUCAAAAAACAAUCAACGACUAAAAAACGGCAACCUGGCACGUAGUACACAAUUUUAAACGAUUGUUUUGAUGGAGUGAAAAAGGAAAACUACCCCAAUACGUAUAUAUAGGCCGAAGCCUUCGCGCUUGCUUGUUAGGGUUGCUCUAUUCACACACUCUCAUCCUCUCCAGAUCUAAACAAGAUAGGGGUGGUAACAUUGCCUUUCUCCCUUCAAAAAACAUUGUCUUUCUAUCAUCACGCUGGUUACAGAUCUGGACAUAUCCCCCUCCGUCGGUGAAGGGGGGAGGGGCAGCGUUUAGGCUGUCGUCGACAGCGAGGGAGGAGACCCACUAUCGGUCGCACCGUUAUCUCUGGCCGAGCGCCAGCGUGGGAGGUCCUCUGAUCCCUUCGUCGUUGCGGGUGGAUCUGGCCUCCCGCCACCCACCUAUCCACAUCCCGACGACCUUCAGGUAUAUCUUCCUUCGAAACCGCCUUAUCUCUACUUCCCCAGCUUGCUACAUCGCUGAUGUGCAUCAUUUUCUACCUCUCAGCCCCUCUCGAUCGGAUGGUCCAAUGUCACCUUUUUUUUAUUGUUAGAGGUAAAGCUACUUCAUGGAGUUGAAUCUUGUACUUGGUUCAAACAAGAAAUAAAGUGGGGGUGGGGGAAUUUAGUAUGUACAUUGGACUUGGUACAAAUAGGAAGGAAAGGGGUGAAAGUAGUACAGACUAGUCAUCCAACCGGUCUCUUGGUCGAAAAGGGAAAUAUAGGGGUAACGAUGUACACAGUGGUAUGACCAGGACUAGAUUUGCUAUCCACACAUAGGAGUAGGUGGCUAGAGUGAACAAAAAUGGGACCAACACAGAUAAGUUUCUUGGAUGUUUGUUUCUCGGGGCAACAAACUAUGAAUCACCACUUUAUGCCCCUGUUUAGGUACAUGGUGCUGGACUGCUGGUGCACCCACUGCCCCAUGCCCUUAUACCAAAUAUUUAGCUAUUCUUAAUCUAAUGCCCCUGGUAAAAUGAAGCCAUGCCACUGUUAUAAGCCAUGACAAGUUUAGCCAAAUGUUUUUGCCUGUAAUUGUUUGAGACUCUGACUGUUUCCUCUGUAGCUUUUUGUGUAAACAUGAAUAUCCAUUUCACCUGGUUGUUGUUGUGACCUUUUGGUGCACUGCACAAAACUCUUCUUAAAAGAAGUGACUUUUGUGCUGUUUAAUUGGAAUGUCAGAAUGGAACAGUUCAUUCAUUUUGGUGGAACUGCACAAAAGGAGAUUUGUGUUCCAAUCCUCAUCAUCCAUAUUGGCGCCAUAACUUUUCUUUAGGUAAGAAUGAUAUUUAAUGCAUGUGUUCAUCUCUAUUUUGUGACUGCCAUGAGAAAAUAAUGCUAUUUUUUACUAGUACACUUGUACUCCCUCACUGAAAAAAUCAAUUCUGAAAUAGAAGGCCAAUCAUGUACUUGGUUUCACCAACUGGUGAGGAGAAAGAGAAACAGAGCAUGAAGAGGAAGAAGAAGAAGAAUAAACAGUACCAAGGCGAUCUUGCUGAAGCCGGAGGCCUCAGUCGAGGCCAUUCAAGGGCUCCGGCAACGACUACCUUACAUGUGAGACGAUCCUCCAGGGAGCCCUUCCACUUCUGCUAUCUCAAUUAAUUAGGAGUACUUAAGUACCACUAAUUUAUUGCUGCCUAAUUUUCCUGUCGGAGUUAAACAAAUCUUUAGUAUCACCCUAUGUUGAAUCAUGUACGUGUGUAUGUUUGUCUAUGGAGGUGAAUCAUGUGGUGGAGCAGGGAGGGAAUAUUAUUAGUUUCAUGACAUAAUAGUGCUAUUGUUUUGCAUGUCAAUUUAUUGCCAUCGGUUCAAUGAGGUAAUGUUUUGCGUAUUGUCCAUCAUGAAUUUGAUGCUACUGUUAGAGUAAUAUGCUAAUGUCUUUCUAUCCUUUCUCACUAAGCUAAUGAAGGUUUCACCUUGUUCCUACUUGUGCAAACAGGGAUCAUGUUAUGCCAAUCAUACAUUUUAGUGGAACUACAUAAGACAAUACAAUGAACUGUAUCCCAGCCAGUGCUUUAACUCUGCUGGAAGUUCUUGAUAAUCUUUCGAUAUAAUCUCAGCACUGGUAAACAAGAGUGAUUUCAACCAUACAUUUGAAGUGCACAAAAAUAUAUACUAUUGAGUGAUUCCAGUGAGUGCUUUAUCAUCUCUUAUGGGACUACAUGAAUAAGCUUUUUUCCUCAGGUUGGUACGGGCCUAAGGCCUUCAUCCAUAUUAGUUUGUUGUCAUCUCUAUUUGUAUUGUGCUACUGUCAUGAGAAACUCCUUUAUCUUUGCACGUUAAAGUUUUGCAACCUAUGAUACAUGGAAAUGCUUUGAGUGUUGAGCUAAUUGGCACUGAUUAAAUAAACUAAUACCUCUCUUUAAGCAAGACUACUAUGUUGCUAACUUUACCCAUUAAGAUAAUGAGGGUGCUUCUAUUUUUUAGUGUAUGUUUCAUCAACUAGUCCCACUAUUACAGUAAUCUCACUCUCUCAAUAUAUGUGCCAACAGGGUUGCUCGAUUUUGGUGGAAUUGCACAAAAACUUUGGGUGCUUCAUUGCCUCGACAGCUUCCGUCCUUUCUGUUGUCGCUAAUCUGGGCCUGCUUUCUUCCUUUGAUGUCAGUCGCUUCGCUUAUCUCGGCUUCGAGUCAAAGGAAAUAGUAAUUGAUAUGCUACCUCACACAGGUUGGUACUGGUCUUUAUCCUGAUUAUUGUGCUUGUCAUGUAUUGGUAAUUUGCUAUUGUGCUACUGUUUGCUAAUUUUUAAAGGAGUAACUUGGAGCGUGAACUCGCAGGCAAAUCAUUGCAUUGGGUGAUUUCAGUAGAACUGCACAAAAAGAUUAGAUGGACAGAUACUCCAAAGUUCACUCAGACAAGCAUCAAUGUUGACAAGAAGUGCCUAUAUUCAUUCAAGUAUCAACCGGCGUCAACCAGUUGUCAAAAUCCAAGUAUUAGGAGAGUGAACGCCAAAAAUAUUGCUUGGCGCAUAGCCCAGAAAAACACAGUCCAGUCUUUGGUCCCAACUUGUGCCUUUUGGUUAUCGACAGAUAUGGUAGCGAACUGUAUGGCAUGGAGUCUAAAGAUUCCAGACAAGUUGGUUGACGCAUAUAUUCAUCUGGCACUUAAUCAGUCUGCAUGCCAGGGAUGCUCCAUUUCAGUUGAACUGCACAAAAAAAUUGGGUGGUUCAUUUUCUCAACCGCCUCCUUUCUUCUCUGCAAAUGUAGAAUUUUGGCCAGCUACACGACCAAGAUGAGCCAGUAAACUAGUUGGAUGAAAGUAGUGGCCAAGUUGCUCAAACCUCCCUCAGCACAAGGCCGCUAUUUGAGGAUAAACCUACAAGCAAAGUUCAGAUUGUCUGUGCUGCCUCUUAUGUACUCGAAAGUUUACUCGUACAAGCAUUAAUUUUAGCAAGAAGUACCUCCGACUGAACGCCAUUUACCAGUCUGUACCCUAGGUAAUUAAAGUUAGUCCAUGGAUCAUAUUGGCUGUGAUCUCAAUCAUUUGGAUGCAUAAACAUACUGAACAUGUGGAUAUCUAAAUCUUUUUGUGAAUUAUCGAUGAAUAUUGUCAUGUGAUCUAUCAAUCAUUGGAUGCAUAGACAUGUUGAACUUGUGUAUAUAUGAAUCUUUUGAGUUGUUGAUAGUGAAUGUUGGCUAUGAAUAUGAACGUGUCCUGUGAACCUGAGUUUGAUACGAAUGUUUACCUUUUUUGUUGUACUUGUGUGUGAACUUGUUAGUAUGCCUACUGUGGGGUAUGUGACAUGUGGGUGUCAACGGCACACCUUCUUCCCGAGAAGAAUUGCACCUGCUUUGUUAGGAUAGCAAUGGCGCAUCAACUCUUUUUAAUCUUUUUGCUCUGUCUUCCCCCCUCCCCCACUCAACCCCUGCCGUAAUGUUUUCGGCCUCAAAACAAACAUAGUACUGCGUUGUUUUGGGGGCUUGAUGAAAAAUCGAGUGUUGGUUUCUGUAGGUUGGCCCGCCCAGCAAAUGGGUUGCUGGUCCACCACGGGUUGGGAGGCUAAAAAUACAAGUUGUAUGGUGCAGAGGCAAGUAAAAAAACGCCAUCGAGAGCCAUCCACUGAAGAAGAAAAAAUCGCUCCUGAUGUGCUUCUUAAAUCGUGCCGCCGGCCCCCUCUUUAAUCCAGUUCACUCGGGGAUCUGGUAUCAUUUUUUUCCAGAGGGCGAACAAGUAUCAGCUAGGUCUAGGUUUUGUAUUUUAACAUGCGUAGCCCACGACAUACAGAGACAGUGGUUUCAACUUAUUUUUUAAGGUCCAUACCGGCCUAUGGGAUUUUUCUAAAAUAUCGCCAGCCCAAUGUAUUUUUUAAUAAAACACGGGUCUAUGUUCUAUUUAUCUAUAUAUAAGAAUAAUAAUGUUGUGUCCAAUUUAUGUUUUCCCUUCUAACCGCAUUAUAUAUAUUUAUAUUAUUACUAUUAUCGUAUAUUUUAUAGAGACUUAUAUAUACAUUAUAAAAACAUCCCACGUGUUAUUAACCUAUAAAAGUAAAUGUUUAACAGAAGUUGGCAAGGAAAAUCCUGGUUGUUUUUGACUCACGGGCAAGGAAAAUCCUGGUGAUUGCGUACAAAAGCAUGCGAAGAUUUUAAGGACCAAUGUAAUAAUAAUGCGCUCAUUUUUAUUUUGAGCAAUAACUCGCUAAUUUGUUAAUUAUAUAUAAAAAAUGUGUCUCUCCGAUUUAUUUUUUGAUAUUAAUUGCUCCUUCUAACAUAACAUUAUAUAUAUAAUGAGCCCAGCUAAUUCGUGUAUUUCAAGGAAGUGCAAAUGGGCUAGGAUUUCUUAGAAAAUAUAAAUGGGCCGCAUUGACGCGAAAUUAUUUGUUUACCCAGCCCAGCAAAUGGACUGUACAUUCUAGAAAACAUGGGUUAAAUAUAUGCCACAUUUUUGCAGGCUGACAUGUGGGCCAAUAGGUCGAAGCCUAUGCAGGGCGUUGUCAACUUGCUCAACAAAUGAUUAUGACAUCCACAGCCAUUGGAUUUAUAUCCAACGGCUGGCAUGUAACUUCAAUCUCUCGUCUUCUUCCUCCAGCGUCGCCAGGACCGCCUGGUCCGGCCUCCGGCGGCUAGCGGCUCUGCUUAGCAUGCAUCGCUGCGAAGCGCUACCCCACCACCGGCCAGGCUAUCCCUCCACCCAUCCACACCUCCUGUUAUUCUCCACCGACUGCAGCCCCACGCCGCACCAGAACCAGUUUUAUAACCCUUCUCCUCCUCUCAAUCUACGACUCCACUGCCGCGUCUUCCCAUCUCCGAGUCGUUCCCGUCCGGGUCCUCGCCGUCGUCCACCACCUUGCUGCGCUGGUGCAGCAUGGUCAACACGAGAGUCAGCGGAAGAGGACUGUACGUGGAGAGCCUGACGGCUGGGACCCACGAGGUCCAUGGUCGCACGCAAGGAAAGUUCCUCCUUAUUAAGCUGAAAAAAAUGUUUCCUCCACCUGACAGCUGGAACCCACCGGCUGUAUCUUCGCACGGAAGGAAGUGCCUCCUUGUUAUGCGAAAAAAAUCAUUCCUCCCCUUGACAGUUGGGACACGUCAGAUUUGGUGGCUGACUUGUGGGCCUACUAAGCGGACGUGUACGCGGGGCUUUGUCAACUUAAUCAACAAAUGAUUCUAGCAGCUGGACCGUUGGAUGUUAAUCCAACAGCCGUGCUCCUUCUUCAACCUCUGCUCUUGCUCAUGUCUCCCGUGGGCGGCACCGCGGCUGUGCUGCCGCACCCGAACCAGUCAAGUUUCCCACUCCUCUCCAUCUGCGACUCCACUGCCCCGUCUACCCCAUCUCCGGGUCGUUCCAGUCUGGGGCCUCGCCUUCGUCCAUCGGCCUUGGUGCGCUCGGCACGGUGUGGUCAACAACCGAGAGUCAUCGGAAGAUGACUGUACUUGAGAGGCUGACACUGGGGACGCACCACGCCCAUGGACGCAUGCAUGCAACGGAACGCGGCGUGGUCAAUGUGGUCAAGGAACGACUUCCAUCAGAAGUGUACUAUACGUGGAGAGGCUGACAGCUGGGUCCACGGCGACCGCAAGGAGGUGCCUCCUUAUUACGCGCAAAAUAACUAUUGCUCCACCUGACAGCAGGGACCCACCAGACGGGCCACCGUAUUUCACGAAAAAAAUGUUUCCCCCUGACUGCUAGGACCCACCAGCUACAUCUUCGCACGCAAGGAAGUGCGUUCGGGCAAAGAAAAACGAUUCGCCCCCCCUGACUGCUGGGACCCACCAUCUACAUCUUCGCACGCAAGGAAGUGCCUGACAGUCGGGACCCACCUGGUCGAAGCGUAAAUAACGUUGUCAUUCUGGUCGCAAAUGUGUACGUACAUAUUGGUGGAUGUAGAGGCGUGCACGUGUCGUAGUAGAGGCGCGCAUGUAGCAUGUACACGUACGUACAGCGGCCAGUGUGCAAGAAAGAAAAUACGGUCACGUACAUACAUAUGGGCGGGAUCUCGAACGCCUACGCGCACAUACGUACGGCUAGGGCUCGUGUACAUGGCUGGGUCAGAACGGAGAAACAGCGUCGUCAUCGUGUUCAAGGGGAGCCAACCAGCUGGGUCGGAACAGAAUGCGUCGUCAUGUUCAUCAGGAGGGCUUGGACGGAACAUCCGAUGAAAACGAGGCCUGGCGUACCGCACAACGGAUGAAACGACCUUGUGUUCGACCGGCCACGUUCAAAACGGGAUCCUGUUCAUUGGGAGGGGUCUGGCAUAUCGCAAAACGGAGGAAACGGACUUGUGUUUGACCUCCUACGGUCGAAACGAGGUCAUGUUGAUCGGGAGGGGUGUGGCGUACCGCAAAACGGAGGAAACGGACUUGUGUUGGAGCGCUAUGGUCGAAACGGGGGUCCUAUUCAUCGGGAGGGGUGUGGCGUACCGCAAAACGGGACUCCACGGGAUACUGUCCAUCUCCACCGUCGACCUCCUCCAGCCUCCACGGGCUACUGUUCAUCCACCAUCGACCUCCACCUGCGACUGUUCAUCCAGCCUCCAUCGCGCGCUACUCCACCGGCUACUAUUCAAUCAGCCCUCUCCACGGGCUCCUGUUCAACCACCCCUCCACGGGCUACUGUUCAUCCAGCCCUCCACCGUCUACUAUUCAUCUAGCCCUCCACGGGGUCGUCCUAUUCAUCCAGCCCUCCAUGGGGUCCUGUUCAUCCAGCCCCAACCGGCUUGAUCGAUCGGGGUCCUGUUCAUCCAGAGGCAACACCACGGGGUCCUGUUCAUCCAUCCCCACCGGGAACUGUUCAUCCAAACCCCCCCAGCAACGCUCACUGUUCAUCCAGAGGCAGCAUCGAUCGGCUUCAAUUAACAGCAGUAGCGAAGGAAUCGCUCGAUCGGGUUCAGUUAACAGCCAUCGAUCGAUCACUCGGGUUCAGUAAUGCGUAGCCUGCAGUGCAAUCGCUCGGGUUCAGUAGGUGAACGCCUUGCUCGGGUUCAGUUAGAGCCCAACGCCUCGCACCCACGCGCGUGCGUGUACGAGAGAAACGCGCAAACCUUCGUGCAUCGCUCGGCCCCGACCACCCACCGUAACCGAGAACACCCCGAUAUUUUCCUCGCCCUCGCUUCUACCACGGUUUUUUCCGUCAUGUACAGCCCAAAGAAUGUCAUGUAGCUGCGUCUCCGGGCCGCCUAGGACGAAAAGCCCAUUUUCUAUCAUGAUUUUUUGUCAUAGAAGUAGGAGCCCACCACAUCUAUGAUGAUACCGGAUUUUGUCACAAUUAUUGUCAUAGAAGUGUCAUACGUAUGACAGGAAAAAAUUCGUUCGGUCCAAAAUGUCACGGAUGUGUCUUUUUUUGUAGUGCUAACAUUUGCUCAAAAGUUGGAAGCAAGAGUUUCAGAUUUCUAAUGUUAUCCAGGUCAUGUUCCAUAAAAGGAAUUAUGUCAUCUUCAUAUACAAGAUUGAGAGGGCCCCAUCCACCAUAUGUGGCACUGCUACUACAAUUUGGUCGUCCUGUUUGGCCCGCUCUAUCAAAGUUGGAGAUAAUACGUCACCUUGGCAUAGACUUUUUUUCUUUUAUAGGUAAUGGUCUAUGACAGCAUUGAUAGCCACACAUCCUAUAGUAACAAAAGUUUGGAUCCACUCAUGCCAUCUAUUGGAGAAACCUUUCAUUCUCAGAGCAUGUUGGGGAAACGACCAUUUUACUUUAUCAUAAGCCUUUUCAAAGUCAAUUUUGAAACUCUAAUCAUAUUUUUACGGUGCAUUGCGUGGAUGGUCUCAUGAAGGAUUACUACUCAUCUAGUAUAUUUCUUCCUUGCAUGAAAAUCGUUUAAGAUGGUCAAACAACAUGGUCAACAAUGGCAUUGAGCCUAUUAGUAGUCACUUUGAUGAAUAUUUUGAAACUAACAUUAAAGAGGUAUAUGGGUUUGUAUUUCUUGAUCCACUCAGUAUCCUUGGUCUUUGGCAACAAAACAAUUUCACCGAAAGUGAGCCUGGAUAGGUCAAGUUGGCCAGUAUGAAAAGAAUAGAAUGGCUCCAUUAGGUCAGUCUUGAUGGCAUCCCAGAAGUUCUAGUAGAACUCUGCUCGGAUGCCAUAGGACUUGGAGCCUUGUCAUAUUCCAUCUGGAAUGCCACAUCUCCCACCUCCUCUUUUGGUAAAGGUGUCGUAAGGAUAUUGUUCUCGUCUAUUGUCACUUAUCAAAUGUCAUAUGUUUGAUUCUCAUUGAAGGUGAAGUCUACUUCCAUUGGAACCUCGACUGGAGGUACUUGGUUAUGAAACGCUUGAGAUCUGCCUAGCCCUCGACCCGUCCAUCACUCUAUUGGAGGCUAAAAAUACACUUCUUCAUGUGCCACCCAUUGGCAACCACGUGGAAAUUUAUGUAUUGUUGUCUCCCUCCAAAAUGAAUUGGGCUUUGGAUCUUUUGUGAUUUUAUAUGUGAGAUCAUCAAUAAUCAUGGAAAGGUGCUGCUUUUAUUUUUUUUAUAUAAAUACCACUGGCGUAUUUCGUCCAUUCCGAUAGAAGAGGAAAUUAAUAAGCUUCUGAGGUUGAUUAGUGGAGCAGAGAUCUUUCCACUCGUGAAAUUGCAUAGGUCUAACCAAUUGGCCACAAGUUAGAACAUGCAUUGAUCGAUGGAUCGAUCAUUAUACUUUAAUUGGAUGUAGCUGGAAUUUCCUCGGACGCAUGGCCGCAUGGGAACAUGAAUAUACUCUAGGUCAGGUAUCGGAUCGUCGACAUGCAUCUUUCUUAUUGAGAUCAAGUUGAGAGAGCAGGUAGGUCCCUGAAAUGGACAUGCAGGACUUGAUAUGUCCUUUGUUGAACUUGCCUUAUUAAAUAGCCGAGGUAGUGGCUCAUUUUUCGAGGGAGCUGGUCAAGCAAGCAGAAGGACUAUAGUGGAACUUUAGACUAGCCACAAUGGGAGUAACUUCAGCAGUAACAUCGAGCCCAACUCAACAAAUUUGCUUAUGUGGCAAUGAGUUAAUGAGGAGAGAGGUAGUUUCAGCAACUUAGCUAGUUACUGUAAUAUCACAUGUCCCAAUGCAAUAUGAGUCUAUAACCUAAUAAAUAAAGCUUUGCAUGACAUCACACUUAUGUUACUACCCACUAUGAAGGUAGUAACGUACUCUAGGGAUAUGCGUAUGUUACUAGUGUAUGUUACAAUCCACUGUGGCUAGUCUUUGCGUAGAUGGUAGUGUUUGCACUCGAAGCAACUUAGGCUAGGUAAACCAAUGGUCAAUGCAAUGCUACGUCUACGUAGGAAGUUACAAAACUUUUACGUAAUAAGCCAGUUGGCAGAAUGUGAUUGGGAUUAGAGGAGAGGAGGGGCCCACCCCACUGAAAAUCAGGGGGCAGAGAAUUAGUUAAGGGAAGUUAUGUAGCCCCUUCGUAACCCCUCUGGAGGUCUAGGAUUUAUUGCGUGCAUACAUAUGUUACAAUUGCAAUGGAGUAAAUGGACAUAUUAUACUACUCAAUUAGGGCACCUCUAAGGCGGACAAACAAACCUCCCAUAACCGUCCGGACACACUUGUCCGGACCUCGUAAGCCAUCCAAUGGCGAUCUCCAUCGGUCCGCGGAAUGAUCCGAAGCGCAAUUUUUUCACAAACCGGAACUAAACGAGGGGGGCUUUGCAGAAGUCCGGACACAAGCCACAUAGGACUCCGAAACCAUGGCCCACCAAAAACUGAGGCGGAGCCCGUGAUUUGUAGCUGGCCGCACUCUUUCAAUGGUAAAAUGCCCCCACUUUCCUCUUCCAUCCAGCCGCUCUCCCCCUAAUUUUGUUCUUUCUUUCCAUCACCGAUGCAUGCAUGGACCCGAGGGAGAAGUUGCCAGAGACGGCGGUGGUGAAGGAUCCAGCGAUCACACUCGCCGGAAUGAUCAACUUGGAGACACGGCAAAAUCGUUGCCUCAAAGCAAAGGCAAAGGUGGUGCCGCUCAAGAAGCAGAAGGUCGGCUGAGGCCGAGAUGGAGGGCAGAGCCUAAGACGUGGGGGCCGCUGCCGUUGCCGGCCGUGCAGACACCGCCAUGGCCGGAGCAUUACAAGGCUUUGUACUACUACACCUCCAAGCAGCUUGGUAGGUAGUCACCGGCAUCCGCCGCCAGGCAAGUGCCCUUCGUCGAUGUCGUCAAUGCGAUGUCGCAGCUUGUCUCAGAGUGUUCAUCAUCGCAGCUAGUCCGGGUGCAGACGUCGGGCAUGGAGCAGCUGGGUGUCUGCAUGUUGUUCACUUAUAUGCCUAAAGCGGGCGAGCCGGUAUAUGACGAAGCAUACAGGAGGAUGUUUGACAUCAUCCAUGAUAGAGGUAGGGAAGAAGGUUUCUACUAGGAUGGGCAUGUGGAUGACUAGGAGCCCGCCCAGACCGGCUCAUACACCCAGCUGGGCUCGUAGCAGGGCUACACCUAGUCCGGCAUGUACACCCAGCAGGGCACGCAACCGGGAUACACCCAGUUCGGCACGUACACCCAGCCGGGAACAGACACACAACAACAUGAUUGGGCCGCCGAACAAUAGGAGUAGGAGGAGAAUGGAUACGACGAUGAUCCCGAUGAAUUUGUUGCCGAUCCAAAAAGAGGGGUAGAGAAGAAAGCUUCAACAUACGAGAGGACGAGUUGUUGUGUAAUGCAUGAUUGGGCACGGAGCAAAAUGGCACAAUAGUUUGGGCCAACAUUCACUCUUGGUUCCAUGAACACAAGCAUUUCCAUCCCUACGCCGAUGCGCUCAUCCGCAACCGUGGCGCAAAGUCUCUCAACCAUCAUGUUGGGGAACGUUGCAUGAAAACAAAAAAAUUCCUACGCCCAUGCAAGAUCUAUCAAGGAGAUGCAUAGCAACGAGAGGGGAGAGUGUGUCUACGUACCCUCGUAGACCAUAAGCGGAAGCUUUUAGUAAUGCAGUUGAUGUAGUCGAACUUCUUCGCGCACCAACCGACCAAGUACCGAACGUACGGCACCUUCGAGUUCUGCACACGUUCAACUCGGUGACAUCCUCGCCUUCUUGAUCCAGCGAGAUGGGCGAAGUAGUAGAUGAGUUCCAGCAGCAUGACGGCAUGGUGGCGGUGAUGGUGAAGUUAUCUCUGCAGGGCUUCGCCUAAGCACUACGAAAAUAUGACCGAUGGACAAACUAGAGGGAGAGGGGCACCGCACACUGCUAGGGAAUCGUGGUGUGUGUUUCCCCUCUCCUUCCUCUCAUAUAUAUAGGUGGAGGGGGAGAGAAGGCAGCCCCUAGGGCGCCCCAAGUGGCUGGCGGCUUCCCUAGAGCGCCUGUUCUGGCCGAAUCCCCCUUUUUCAUAUUUGUGUAUGGGGGAAGGAAAGGGGGGUUGGCUGCCUUUGGGGCGCCUUCCCCUUCCUUCCCUCCCUUUUUGGUACGUGGGAAAGGGGUAGAAGGGGCGCACCAGCCCCUUGUGGGCUGGUGUGCUUCUCCCCCUUUGGCCCAUAAGGCCCAUACACUUGUCGGGGAUGUUCGGAACCCCUUCCGGUGCCCCGAUGACUACCCGGUGCACUCUAAAACUCUUCCGGUGGUCGAACACCAUUUUCCUAUAUAUCAAUCUUUACCUCUCGACCAUUUCGAGACUCCUCGUCAUGUCCGUGAUCUCAUCUGGGACUCCGACAACAUUCGGUCACCAAAUCAUAUAACUCAUAUAACACUAUAUCAGCAACGAACGUUAAGCGUGCGGAGCGUACGGGUUCGAGAACUAUGUAUACAUGACCGAGACACCUCUCCAGUCAAUAAAAAAAUGCAAAACCUGGAUGCCCAUAUUGGUUCCUACAUAUUCUACGAAGAUCUUUAUCGGUCGAACCGUUAUGCCAACAUACGUAAUUCCCUUUGUCCAUCGGUAUGUUACUUGCCCGAGAUUCGAUCGUCGGUAUCUCUAUACCUAGUUCAAUCUCGUUACCGGCAAGUCGUUUUACUCAUUCCAUAAUACAUCACCCCGUAACUAACUCCUUAGUCAUUUGCUUGCAAUCUUAUGAUGUGUAUUACCGAGAGAGCACAGAGAUACCUCUCCGAAACCGGAGUGACAAAUCCUAAUCUUGAUCUAUGCCAACUCAACAUACACCUUCGGAGAUACCUGUAGAGCAUCUUUAUGAUCACCCAGUUACGUUGUGACGUUUGAUAGCACACAAGAUAUUCAUCCGGUAUCCGGGAGUUGCAUAAUCUCAUAGUCGAAGGAAUAUGUAUUUGACAUGAAGGAAGCAAUAGCAAUAAACUGAACGAUCAUUAUGCUAAGCUAACGGGUGGGUCUUGUCCAUCACAUCAUUCUCCUAAUGAUGUGAUACCAUUAUCAAAUGACAACACAUGUCUAUGGUUAGGAAACCUUAAUCAUCUUUGAUCGACGAGCUAGUCUAGUAGAGGCAUACUAGGGACACAGUAUUUAUGUAUUCAUACAUGUAUUUAAGUUUCUGAUCAAUACAAUUCUAGCAUGAAUAAUAAACCUUUAUCAUGAAUAAGGAAAUAUAAAAUAACUACUUUAUUAUUGCCUUUAGGGCAUAUUUCCUUCACAUCGAUGGUACAUCAUCUAAGAGGCCGUGUAGAAGUAUUGAGCCACUUGAGGCAACUAUCGCACGGCAGCCAAGUAGUGCGCAAAUCGUCAAGUGAGUAAGUUCAUCAUUUGGCCGGAAAUGCAUUGUUCUGUAGACCACUUGGGCAGAUAUGCAUUGUUUUAAAGAUCAAUUGGCCGGAUAGCAUUGUUUUAUGGAUCAUUUGGUCGGAUAUGCAUUGUUUUGUAGAUCAUUUGGCCGGAUAUGCAUUGUUAACAAUGUUUUAUUUUAUAGCCUUCCCAUGCGUGUAGUGUGCUCUUGAAGUUGGAGAAGAAAAACUUCACCAUCAUGCAUUGUUGAUUGAAAUUGAAUGGACAACCCAAGUGAAAUCUAUACAUUACCAAGACCAUCGCCCAUGGCACCGAGGAAGAAACCGGUGCUCCAACCGACCCAACAAAAGAACCGCCCAAGAAGUUUAGAAGAGGGUUUCAUCGAAAGAAGUGGGAGAGGGAAAGGGCGAAGCAAGAGGGGCGGCGCCCAAGAAGUUUAGAAAAGGGUUUCAUCGAAAGAAGUGGGAGAGGGAGAGGGCGAAGCAAGAGGGAUGGCGCCCAAGAAGUUUAGAAGAGGGUUUCAUCGAAAGAAGUGGGAGAGGGAGAGGGCGAAGCAAGAGGGGAGGCGCCCAAGAUGAUGGAGAGGUUCAAGGACAUCUUGUCGAAGGAGGAGGCAUACGUCAAGCGCUCUGACGUCAAGGAGGAAAAAAGGCGGAGAGGUUUAACAUGUUGCUGGCAGCGACCAACAAGAAGCUCAAGGUCGAAGAGAAGAAGAUCAUGCUCAAAGAGAGAAAGGUUGAGAUUGCAGCCGCUUCAGAGGAUACGAAGAUGUUGACCUUGAAGAUGGGGGAUUUAGAUGACGACGCAAGGAUGAUCGUGCAAGCCGUCCUUUCAAUAUGUUGAAGCGACGGAAGGAAGAGUUGGAGGCGCCAGAAAAGGAGGUGGCCGAGACGGCGGAGGAGGCAGAGGCAGCGGCGGACUGAGUGUGGAGGCUCAGAUUGCAUGUCCAGCAGAGGAGAAGAUUCAUAUUUUUUUUGCAUGAAUUGUCGGACUGAUAUUUUUUUUGGUUGUGCGCAGGGUUGAUUUGACCAGGUGUGCGCUAUAUGAUCAGACAGAUUUGAAUUUGAAAUUAAUCAUACUGGCGGACAUUUGGGAGAAUAGCGUUAGAUGGUUGGCUCCCGUAUCAUAGACUGGUCUCCUCUGUCCACGGUUCACGGACGAUGCGAUUUGGAGGUCGGGUUGGAGAUGCCCUUAGUACUACUAGUACUAGUUGAUAGACUCUGGUACUCUAUAUUUGUGCGUUCGAUUGCAAGGUUCAGGCAUGCCUGCCUGACUGAAUGUGUCGCCAUCACGUUUAUUUACGUCCCCGGUCACACUCAGGUUAGCUGAUCGAGUUAGCAAUGGUGAACACGUGCGUACGUAUGUGUAUGUUGCGACAGCCUGCUGAGCGAAUCGUGGGCCAACACGUACGUAGGUAGGCUCAUGGCGACCGUAUGUUUGUACGUAGUACCAUGGAGAGUCGGUGGUCUGCAUCACCGGCCAAUAAGUAGAUGAUUCGUCAACGUGAAGCAGGACAUUCGUAAAGAAUACACAAUGCAGAAUAAGGGAAAGAAGGGUGGCCCAGACAACACCCACUGCACAAUAGAAUAGAAUAGAAUAGAAUAGAAUACAGUAGAGGCUGAUCGACCAAUGGCGGAGCGACACGUGCGUGCGCACACUGUGAUAAUGAUCAUUGUGUCCGGGUAUUGAGUUAUGCACAAAGAAAGUAAAUGAAGACGGAGGGACAGGAAACCGACAUCUUCCUCCACGGCCACAUUUCCGGAGACUGCAGACCGACAGCAGCAACUCGCUACGAGUGUAUACAUCCGGCUGGCAACUAGCAAACCUACUUAGCUAUCGCUACGCUUAGAUUUACUCUACUGAUGCUGAAUGUACGCAAAGUUCGGACUCUUAAUACUUCAUUUUGAGCUAACAAAUCUCAGGCCCGGGGUUACAGGAGCUAGCACUGUGCACUGAUCCAGUGAACACACACUAGAAAGAUGGAGAGAUGGUAUUGCGACGUGGCCUCUUGUCCAGCAACGGCCGUAACAAAGCCGCUCACUGCAACUGCACCGCUGCUUUAUGGUUUCCCAACGCAGAUGAUAGAUAGAUAUAUGUGUGGGGUGCUUUGAGACCAGUAGACUAGUCUGCAUAAAGAAGAACAAACGGAGGAAAGAGAGAUACCUGCUUUGCUCGUCAAAGCUCAGUCUUGGACCGAGACCGUCCGUCCAUCAUCAGUACUAGUAGAGCACCACCACCACGGGUAGAAUAUGCUGCUGCUUUUCAACAUUCGCAUGUAUAACAAAAACUGACUACCACAUCAAGAAUGGUUCCAACUUACACGAUAAAUUCUUAUUUACUUACACAAACAUUGAUUGAAGAAGUAUAUGACAAUAUAUAUACAUAUUGGACACACAUGCACCACCAACUGAUAUAUCAAAAGGUAGGCAAGGCUAAGCACAUCCACUCAUCAAGAGAGGAGCUCCUUCCUAACUCCAUAAUUUAUUAACUCGAAAAAAAAAAACUCGAUGAUUUAAACCACAGAUGCAAAACAGCCCAACAAAGCUCACAAAAUGCAGAAGAAACAUAUUUCACAUAACAAGAGUAUCAAGCCCUAGGAGGACUAUGAGGUUUCCUACCAGCCCAAGACCGAAUUCAGUCACUUGAUACAUCAUCAUCACCAUAAUACAGUCAUCAAAUCUAUAGACUAAACUAGCAAUUAAGGAUCAACAUCCAUACUAUAUCAUGCUCAGCACACGCACAAAAUGUUUCACCGAGCACUAAACACAACCAUCUAGCCAACCAAACAGCCCGCAAGGCUCACCCGAGCACCUCUUGCGGCAAAAUUCUCCCCUAUCAUCAACUAGCAACACAAAUCUUGGAAUCGCCGAACCGGAAAUAAAAUUACAGCAGGCACCCUCCUUUCACCACCACCACCACCCUGGAAGAAAACUCAGGCUCCGGGACAGACAUGGAGGCCUCUGGAGGCCUAAUCGACCAUCAAACUGGAUUAGCAAUGCGGUGCACAAUCACAGAGCAC
rnacentral:lncRNA from 1 species